ACAAAAAAAAAAGGUUAGCAUUAAGAAAAAAGAUGGAGCUUAUCAAGAAUUGGCCUCAUCACAAAACCUACCAUCUCAUAUUAAUCUCUGGAGUUGUCACUUCGGAGAUCAGGCACAUGUAUGUAUAAAGCUGCAUUUCUCCAGACAACAUAGAAUAUGCUACUGCAAUUGUAGAAAGAGAAUGAUGGAUAACCUGAAACCAAAUGCGACCAGUUGUGAGUUGCAAUGGCAUUCCUUCGAAGUCAGAACUUUUACUGCAAGCACUAUAUUGCGAGUCCUCAUUCGAGAGCUAAUUUGUGUUCAACUUUGUUCAUAUAAUCUGCAGUGCUGUAAAAUGUCCUCUGUCCUCUCUUAUUAAUCAAUUUUGUGCUGAUUCACCACUCUAACAUACAGAAACAGAAUCCCAAAUUCGUUUACAGAUCAAUGAAUCAGGGAUUCUGGGAUGGAUGCUAAGAGGCCGAGAAAAUCAAAAGUGAAAUGAAAGGUCAGACACCUCACUUCCUUGUGAGGAAAACUCCAUCAUGCAAGAUGAAUCGAGAGAAAAAAUCCAUAUGAAACAAAAAUAUCUAUAACACAAAGUAGUGCAGGAGGAAGUUAAUCUAAAAGCACAGCAGAAAGAAGACAAGCAUGCACAUGAAAACAGUUGUAUUGGGACGAAUUCUCAUUUUUUAAGAUAACAGAGAAACAAAAAGGUUCAACUUGUCUCCAUCACAUUAAAUGCACUCACAUACUCCUUUCCACCCAAAGUAGGAUAGUACAAAAAAAUCAUUCCAAGGUCCGCAAAGAAGUACCCAACAGAAACCUGUCAAAAAAAGCAAACCAUUUUAAUGUCAAGACUACUUCUUGUAAAAUUCAGGGAACAAAUAAAUAGAGAAGUAUAAUAUCAAGGAAGGCUGACAAAGUAUUCAUAGAGAUAUGAUAAAUGCAAAGAUAAUAGCUAAAUCGGCAAAAUACGAGCCUGUUGACAAUCGUGAGUCAAUUUUCCAACCAAAAAGAAAACUCUCUCAUGAAAUUAACAAAACUCUCACAUGUAAUUAGGGAUAGAUACCUUAUCUGGCCAAGAAAGAUUACUAAAACAACUCUGCAUACUACUAGUUCAAUCUGAAUCAGUGGAGCAUUUUACAUAUGAGAAGUUACACUAAACUGUGCGGUACCAAAACCAACAGCAAACACAUGGGAUAUGAGGUUAACAACUAAGGCAAACAUAUUGCACUAAUAGUUGAGUUGUUCAUACUCAGAGAACUGUUUUCAGAUCCCACGAUAUUAGAGAUCAUCUCAGGAAAAAAAAGGAGGAAGAAAAGAAAGAAAGAUUUGAAAUCAAGGGAAUCGACCAGAGAUGUGAUGUCAUUAAAUAUCACCAAAGCAGAGCUAAAAAAGAACUUACCCCAAGUCCAACAAUGGAGAAUUGUGAGCUUCUUAAUGUAACAAUGCCAGUAUGCUGAUGGUCAGAAAAGAGAUCUGACCAGAAGACAAAGUACAGUGACAUAGCCGUGAUGAAAACAGCAUGAAUUGUAGACAUACCUCUGCCAAAUUUAGGUCACUGAUUGUCAGUACAUUUAAAAUAGAUGACAGGGUGGUAAUAUUGGAACAUGCACUCACCGAUUGUUCCACUCAAUUCGUUGAAUUUUUGUAAGACCAUUAUAAGUUUUGAUGUAAAAAGUGCUGAUUAAUUGAGUGAGAUCAUAGGCCUGCAGACAGAAAAAACAUAGGCACGAACUAAUAAAUGCAGAAGGUAACAAAACAAAACCCACUUAAGGUACAAAAAAGCUUAAUGUAUUGGAAUUGCUCUAUCAUCAUAAAGAGGUAGGUGCAUGAUUACACCCUCCAUUGAAGCUAAAAUGAACAUAAUAGUGCUGGUCAGGCGACAACUCUCAAGUUCAAAACUGAUCUAAAAGGCAAGACAAUUACCACUUUGCAAGCAAAAAUGCCACCAAGGACGGAAGUGUAAGGAAUGAAAGGAUCUGCUAAUAAGUAAUUCUUAACUAAUGCCUCAGCCUGAUUUUGGUAAGACUUGAUAGCCAUAGCUGUCUCUGUAGACAUAGCCAUAUACAGACAAUCCUUUUGAUCAGCAGAUCUUCUCUUUGCUAUCUUCUACUACUUUCUUCCCUUUUAAUAUUGCCCUAUCAUUUCUUCCCUGACAGAAAUGAAGAAGUUAGGGCCAAAAUAAAAGGAUACCAUGAUGCAAAAACAAACCAGUUUUACUUCGUAUUUCCCAAUCAAAAGAAAGAAAGCAAAAUAAUCUGACAUAGUUUAUGCAUUUUCCAUAAAAGGAAAGGGAGCUACAAAGGUAAUCGAAAUUUCAUUGCCAUUUUCUACACGCAGAGAACCGCAUUUUCUAAUAGCAAACCAAUGAACAAAUAAACAAACAUGUUUAGCUUCAUGUAAAGACAUGAGCAAAUUGCCAUAGGAAUUGUAAUUCUCCAGAGCUACUAUUAGUCCUCGUAACGAUUAAAAAAUCCAGUUAAGUAAGAAGAAUCACCUAUAAACCAUCAACACGGGUCCCCAAAAUCAGAAAUUUAUUUGAAUCCAAGCUUUUUAAGCUUCCUCGUGUUACCGAAAUACAUCAACAACUAAAUUAAGACAAAACAAAACGAAAUGUAACAAAUCCUGAUAUAUCAUACAGUAAAUGGCAUCAAAUCACAGCAUCCAUUGACAUAAAAAAUCCAACAUUUAAGCCCACUUUGCAUCAUAUAAAAAAAAUACAACCACCCAUGUCACAAAAUUGCGAGAAAACUCAUACCAGUUAAUCGAAAAAUCAAAUCAUGCAUUAUAUAUAUAAGAAUCAAAUCCUACAUUACAAAACAACAAAGCCAAUAAAGAGAAAGCUUACCAGCAUUCAUAUAUUAUUGAAAAACCACAGACCAUCCUUUAUAGAUCAAGAGCCAAUGGCCAAAUGGGUAUCUAAGGCAACAAAAGAGAGGCCAAGUAGAUGACAGGGCAAAUGGGCAAAUGGGGUGUUUGAGAAUAUUAAAGAAAGAAAGCUAACGCAAAAGAACUCAACAAAAAGCGAAUAACCCACGAAAGAGAAGGGAGCCAAAACUCACGAGUGGAUGAGGGUGAGAGUGUUUGAGACCGAUAGGUAAUCAAAUCAUCAAUCAAUGCAAAAUGCAAAUCCACACUCACAAACGAGAGAAGAUGGCAAGCCGUGAGGUUCAAUCAAUGUGAAGGACUCUCAAUGGGAAUCUCUAACCGAAGAAAUGAAUAAAAGUUUGUUAUAGAAUUCAUAGAAACUGCAAAUCAGUCCAUCAAUUAUAAAUAACUUUACAUAUCGGUAUUUAAGGUCUUGAAUGGAUUAAUAUCACAUGAGAAACAUAAAAUUGACUAUAAAUUAUCUAUGAGAAACAUAAAGUAAUUCCAUAUUUAAAUAUAUUGAACUAAUUUUGCAUACUAAUAUUCUAAUGAGCCUAGAAAAUAGGAAAAAAAAGAUUUCAAUAACCAAUUAUCUGUAUUUUGUUUCUAAUAAAAGGCAUGAACACAAUUUUAAACAAAAAAAAAGAAAGUAAAUCUUAUAAAAUCAUGGAAGUGUCUAAAAUCUCAUUAGUAGCUUUUUACAACAAUAAUUGGGUUUUAAUAUACACGAGGAAUGGCACUAGCAUGGGUUCCUUGGGCUGCAUAUUUGCGAGCACAGGGAAGAGGUUGAUGUUGAGUAAGGUUUGAUGGUUUCAAACUCUCCUUUUUUUUUUUGUAACUUUUAGGGGAUUUAAUGAAAACAAUUUAUAUAGUAUAGGGAUUGAUGUGUAGAUUUUCAGAAAGAAAGCAAGUAGAAAUGAAAUUUGGAGUAGGGUUACAAUACGUGUGGACUUUUGCAAGGGUUAGGUCCCCAUGGCUUGCAUUGCAAUGGACCAUCCCAAGGAGAUGGGGUAGUGUGUGAGAAAAAAAAACUCCAUCGUUUUGGGCGGUUUUAUUGGCUUGGAUGAGAAAAAAACAAUGAUGGUGGUUGAUUGAUUUUACUGUAAUUAGAUUGAUUAUUAAUGUGGUGUUUUCUCAUAUAAUAAGUUGAGUAAGGUAGGUGAUGAGAGUUAUAUGAUGGGAAUUAAAUAAAUUGAUAGAUUCAAAUGGGAAUGGAUUAAAUUGUAGAAUAACAAUUACUUUAUAUCUAUAAGGUUUAGAUGUAAAAAUAAAUGGGUGGUGGGACAAAUGUUACCCUCAUUCAAUAAUAUUAUAAUGGUGAUAGUUUAACCACCUUUUUUCCUUUUUAUUUUUAUUUUAAUGAAAGCUCUAAGAUUUUUCUUUCAACCAUACGAGGGUAUAAGGGUAUCUUCAAAUUAAUUUGUGUGUUAACUGAAACUAGAUCUCUUUUUAGGUGAUCUUGGAAUAAAAAAAAUUAUAUAUUUUUUAAAUAUUGAUAUUUUAAUAUUUUUUAAAAAAUAAUAUUAAGAUGAUAAUUUAUUGAAUUGACUAGUAGAUUACUCUGUUAAAUAUACAAUUCGAGCUAUAAGACUAUGCUAAUCUUAUAAAAAUAAAUUAGAAUAAAUUAUAAAGUUGAAUUUCGAAUCAACUUAAUAUCAAAAGAUAAAAUUAAAGAAAAAAUAUUUAGUUUUUUUAAAAUAAAAUCAAUCCGGUUUAAUCUGUCAAAUCUGCAACUUUAGUCAUGAGGAUAGAUAGAAAAAAAUACAAAAUAUAAUUUUCAACUAAUCUAAAAAAAUAUGAUUGAAAAAAAAACAAAAAAAAUAUAAACCAACUUAAAUUAAUCCGUUAAAUAUAUAACUUAGUGUUAUGAGAGAUAUUUUUAUAUAAAAUAAAUUAUAAAAUUUAAUAAGAAUAAAAUUGAAAAAAAAUUAAUAAUAAAAUAUUCAUGCAUGAGUAUGGAUACUGUACCAUGAAUUUUAACUAGAUUACUACUUUGUGACGAAACUGCAUAUAGUUUCGAAAAAGAAGAGCAGAAGCCUGUCAGACAACCGCGUGACCAUUCCCAGCCAGGUUAGCGGCUAGGAAACGAUCCUCUACAGCCAAGAUGAUCACGAGGGCCAUCUAGCCAUUACUCACGCUAUGAUCACGCGGUCAUGGUUCCUCAACCAGGCUUAGGUUCCUGUCUCCUUAGUGAUUAAGGAUACAGAGGUACGAUCCUAUAGAACAGAUCCUGUUCAAGUAAGGUCGUGCAGUUACGGGCUCCUCGAACAAUUUAUUAACUAUAUUGGUUCUUAACUCUUUUUCGAUGUGGUACAAAUGUGGUCCUAGGUGUUUUUAUCCCAAGGAAAACGCUCUGUUCGUCUUUUUGCUUCAAGCCCCGGUAGUAUCCAAGGGGAGAGUAAUAUGAAGGUACGAGGAAGACCCUGAGCGGCUGCCGUGCUUUAGCGGUGGUAUUUUGUUAGAAUGAAACAAGCUGAGAUAAGAGCAUUUUCCAGGCACCGAAUCACUAGCACUCCUGCAGAAGGAAAAGCUGCAGACUUGAAUUAGUCUCUUGAUCAGUUGAGAUAACCUUAAUGAUGAUCAUCCUUUGUCCCUUCUCGCAGUGUCCAGAAACCCCACUUAUGAAGUAGGAAGACGCUGGAUAAUUAAGAUGGUAAACAGUGUUGGAAAAGAAGUUGGGGUGACGGGAGUGGCACUUCUUGCAAUCCUCUACCCUGACCUUCAUGACGGAAUCCUUCCUUUACUUGAAACCUGCGCCAAAAAAGAUGAACACCCAGGAAAUUGAAGGAAAAGGUAUCUCCAACUUGGAAUCGGUUCCCUAAGGCCCAGUCAACGUAGAUUCUGGUAUCAAUGGCAGGAGGGACAACCCAGUUUUCGUUGCCGCCGAUUUGGUAUUCAAAGGAAUAGACCGACAAGUAUCGAAGAGAAGUGAAAAUGACCGCCAAGAACAACGACUUUUGCUUGGGAGUGCUCAUGGUAUAACAGGAAGCCAAUCGCUACAGAAGCUAUCUUGCUGUGUACUGAAACUAUAGGGGGAAAAAAGAAAGAAAGGAGAACUUGGGAUUUGCCGUUGGAGCUCUAAUAAUGGGCUUCGUGGGAGUGGUGGCCUGUCAGACAACCGCAGGACCAUCCAUGGUUAAGAAACGAUCCUCCACAGUCACAAUCUAGCAAGCUAUGAUCACACGGUCAUCAUUCAUCUAUCAUAAAAAAAAGAGAUAAAAGAAUAUUUACUGCCUUCGUGAGAUAUCUCUCUUGCUUCGAUGUGGGACAAUAUUUUCCUCUUUGUUCAAGGGCAUUUUUGUCCGAGAAAAAAGCUUAGCUCACCGUUUCGCUCAAGUCCUGAUGAAUAAAGAAAAGAAUGAGCAAUGUUUGAACGAGCAUCUCGUUGGAUUCCAACAUUUUUUCAAGAAGAUGCUUCACAGUUAUUGCUCGAUGUGGGACAGUGUGUUUCUGUUUGCUUCAAGUCCUCAAAAAAAAACAAAUAAUCGAUACAAUGUGUUUCUGCCUUUUGUUUUUAUACGUAUAACUUCGAUUUUUUAGAUAAAAAAAUAACAAAAUUUUUAAUAUCUAAUUUUUUUUAGAUAAUAAAAUAAUAAGGAAAAUAAGAUUCAAUUAGUAUAGAAAAAAUUACAUGAUAUCGGAUCAAUAAAUAAAAUAAUAAUAUAUAUAUAUAAUGUGAUAAAAAAAGAGAGCAAUUCAUAUCUGUUGAAUGAAAUUAAAAAGAGAAAUUUAAAGGAUUAGUUUUAAUCACUAAAAUCAAAUGAUAUCUUAAAAAUAUAUUCACCAAACACAACGAAUGUAUUCCGUGUGGGAUCGAUAAUGUAUUUUAAUCACUGUUAUCAAAAUUCGUACAACUUCGUUUGUUUUGGUGUGGGAUAAUGUGUUUUGUUCAAGGAUGUUGGGCUUUAUUUACAACACAAUUUCUAAAUUAAAAUAAAAACAAUAUUGGCUGCAUUGUUUAGAACAACGCAGCUCAUUCUCCUAUGCUAUUUUUAAAAAAAUAUUUGUUGAGCUCCAUUAUUUUCUAUUAGGUUAUUUAUUUGGAAUGUCUUUGAUGUUUUAAUUGACCUUCACAAACGUUUUUUCAAGUUUACUAGCUAUUUCAAACGUGACAUGUACGAGUUGGAUAUUGUUUUUCAAUAAAAAAAAACUGAACGAACAAGUUUUUUCAACAUUUUUUUAAAUAAAAAAAUUAAAUAUAUAAAAAAAAAUUUAUGCAUGCAUAAAAUUAAACAAAACAAGAGCCAUUUAUAUCAAUAAAUGAAAAGAAGUAAGUAACAAUAACUAAAUAUGUAUCUUUAAAAGUCGAGAAAUGAUAUAAUUCAAGAUAUUUGAUCUAACAACACAGAUUAUUUACUUGAUUGUGUUCAAUGACUCUGCUUAUUAAUAUACAUUUUUUAUUUAAUCAAAUAACAAUAGAAAUAGACACAGAUAUAAUAUUGAUUGAAUAAAAUUAAAAGAAAAAAAAUAUCUCACAAGUUAUUAAAAAUAUUAUUCAAAAAUAAAUAUUUAUUAUUUUUAAAACUAAAUCUCAAUUAUAUAAUACAUAAAAAAAUUAUAAAUAAAUUAGAAUAAUAUCUUAAAAAGUUAAACACAUUUAAAAUAAUUAAAAAACAAUAACUAUUUAAGACAUGAUAAAAAAAAAAUAAGAAAUAAAAGAAAAGUUAUAUUAAUUUUAAUAUAAACUAUAAAUUUAUUUAUCAAACACAUAUAAAAAAGUAUUGACUUUUUUGAAAAAGACAAAAUUAUAUAAAAAAAAAGAGAGAGGAAAGAGGCCUGGCCAAUGUCUGGCUCAAUUAGAAAUGCCCUCGUGUGGGCCCUAUUUCCUUUUAAAAAAUAAAAUUAGGCGAACGAGCGCCCAAUAUUUUUAUGGAAAAAAAUCUCUAGUUAAUGUGUCAUCUUGUUUUGCCAAAAUUUCAGUCCUUAAGGUGGCUGAAAAAAUAAAUUUUAUUUUUUUAUUUAAAAAUUUAAUUUUUAAUUUAAUUUUUUAUCAAAAUACUUAAAAAAAUAAUUUAAACACCUUAUUAAAUCUAUAGAUUACAUUAAAAAAAAACACACAAGAAAUCAAAAUCAAUCUAAAAUAAAAAAUCUUCUCAGCUUAAAUUUGGCUUUUUAUAUAGUUUUAAAGUGAAAAAAAUAUUUAAGUUGAAUUCUCGUCAUGAAAUAGAUUUUUUUAACAUUAAAAUAGAUAAUAUUGAUGGACAGAGUUCAUAGUUGAUGAUUUUUUUCAUUAAUCAAAUUAAAAAUUAAAAAAAUAACAAAAAUAAAUUUCAUAUUGCAAUUGAAUUGCAAAGCUAUUGGAUUUAAGUACUGUUUAACGAAAACGAGUCCGAGCUGCGAGUGGGAAGAUAACCGAAGGCCCUUAGGUGCGACAAUCAGCACCUGUUUUCUUCUCACGUUUUUGCAUCAAGUCCUGAUAAAAACAAAGAAUGGAUGGCAUGCAGCGCGAGUCAAUGGUGCGACAGUAUAUGGCCCUCCAACUCACCCACCCUCCAACAACAUCUCUUCAAAGAAAUAUAUGAUUUACUCUGUUUUUUCAAGCAAAGAUUUUUAUUCAUUAUACUCUUGGGAGCAACGCCAAAAACGUUUGUGAGACAUCAAUUUCUCUUUUUUUUUUUUUUUUAUUAUUAUUUUUGCUGGUGAGUUUUCCACUCCUUCCCGGGCACUAAAGACUGCAGUUUACAAGGAUGGAGAAACUUUAAAUUAAUUGCGUUUUCUUUUCUUCAUAAACAGAGUUCGCUUUCUGUUCUAGGGAAGGAACACUGAACAUCAGUGCAGUAAUGAGUCGUAUCUUUUUAUUUCAUUUCUAGGAAUAUGAUAUUCCUAUUUCCUUAAGAAUUAAUCACAAUAUUUCUUUUUUCUUUAUAUGUAUAUAGAAAACAGUAAAUUUUACUCUUCGAAUUUAUUACAAAUUUGCAGAUGAUCUUCAGAUUAAAGCAAAACGCAUAAAUUCAACCAAUUCUUUGUUUCAUUUUAAAUCAGCUAGGACAAGUUUGUGUCAACAUUGUAUUUAAUUGAGAUUACAACUUAAGCUAAUAGAGACUAUUUUUUUUACAUGAUUAUCACUAAAGAAAAUUUUGCAUUAAAAAAAUCUCAAGAGCUUCGUAUCUAUCGUAGCAUCAAUGCAAGGACAAUGGUACCGAAUCAACAAUUUAAAUGACAGUGAUGGUCAUUGUAUCACUUAAUUACCCAAGAUUUGAUAAGAGAUAUCAACUUUUAUAUUAUUUAGAAACACUUUAUUUAACUUGAAAGUAAUAGCUAGUUAUAUUCUAGAUUUACUCUUUAAGAUUUAUUUAUUCAAAUUUUAUAAAUUUUAGAGUUAUUAGAAGCUUAUAUGGUCAUUAACUUUAAAGCUCGUGAGAUUAGUCGAUGUCCGUGCAAGCUGGCCCAGACACCACGCUAAUCAAAAAAGAAAAGAGCACUUUAUUAACUCCGAAGGGUAUAGCUUAAUUGGUCAGAUCCUGAGUUUGUUCUAUAGAGAUCACUAGUUCGAGUUUCAUAAAUUUCAAGGCCACUGAAGGCUUACAUGAUCGUUAACUUCAGAGCCCAUGAGAUUAGUCGAUGUAAGCACAAGCUGGCUCGGAUAUCUAUGUUAAAAAAAAAAACUUUAUUUGAAAAUAUUAUGAAACAUACAGAAACUUCAAUUUAUCAGUAGUUAGGCCUGUAGAUAAUAAUUUAUUUUAAAGAGAUAGAACUAAUAAAGUGUUGGAUAAUAAAAAACAAGGUGAGAGUGUCACUCUUCUACCCCUAUACUUAGAUGUCACUGCAUCAAUUUUAUCAAGAUGAUUAUCUAGUCCAUCUAAAAACGUGUAAACCAUAUACUAUUGUAAAAUAUAAUUAUAUCUUUGUAAAUCAACCUCACAUUUCAUUGGAUUUCGGCGGCAAAAAUCAAUUUCUGUCCAUAGACAUUGAAAAUUGUUGUAGCGUGUCUAUCCUCCAAACUUGUUUAAGUCUUAUUAUGUUCCUUUUGAGAUCAUAAGCUUGUGAGGUGUCAGCGCCAUCAAAAUAUAUUGCAGCGAUGGCAUCCCAUUCAGCUUUCGUAGUUGUAAAUAUGAUGCAGUUAUUGUGGAUCCAUUGAAUUAAUAGCCAUCCCUUCACAAUUGCAUUUUCUAUUCUUCAAAAAAAUCCCUAUAAUCUCUCAAAGAAAUCUUUUGUCGAUGACUCAUGCCAACAACCAACACUUAAAUUUAUAUAUUAAAUAUCAUAAUUUUGUGAACUCAUAGAAACUUCGUAAUUUUUAAAUAGAUACCUAAACUAGUCUAAGAAGCUGAAUAGGUCAUCAUAAGCACUUGAUGAUCUUAUGGCUCUUCCAUUAAAAAUAACAAGACAAGAGUUGACUCUGUAAGAAGAUGGCCAUCAAUGCAAUUUUUUCAAUACAUACAUGCAAAAUGAAGCCCAACAACACUAUUGCUGGCACAAACUUAUUUUAGUUAAUUCACUUAAAUAAUUAAACUAAACUCAUCAUCAGAUUGUGCUGGCAAACUUCUUGGAAGCGAAUCAAUUCCUUGCUGUGAAGCUGAUGCUGUGGAAUAAGAUCUCAAUUGCACAACCUCUUGCUUUUCAAGCUCAAGCACGCGCUCAAGCACUCGCUCAAGCACUUGCUCUUUGCGCUCAAGCACUUGUUCUUCGCGCUCAUGCUCUCGCUUUUUACGCUCAAGAUCUGGCUCUGUAUCUAGAAAUAAUAUUGUUUUUAAAAUGAUAUUGUUUUGUUUAAAUUUUUUUUGACAUUAACAUUUUAAAAUGAUCUAGAAAUACAAAAAGAAAUAAAACAUUAAAAUAACCAAGGUUUAAAUAAAAAAAUGUGUGGUGUAAAAACUUGUGCAACACUGGAUAAAGAAAAUGUACGUAAGGCAUUUCUGAAAAUAAAACAACACAACGUGAAUAUAAAAAAUACAUAGCUUAUAAUAUUAAGAUUAUUAGUUAGACAGAUUAUUAAAGACAUUGAAUUUAGCGGAAAGUGGCAAAGUGCAAAGCAUGGAAAAUUAACAGGUUAUUAAUGUCUUUUCCUUUGAAGAGAGAGAGAGAGAGAGAAAACCUCGCAGGAUAAUAUUAAAAAAAUAUACUAAAAAGACACAAGUGAUUUAUUGUGCAAAUGAAACAUUAUUUUUAAUUACUCUUUUAUCUUUAUUAAAAGAAUAUUAUGUUUGCAAUUAGAGGUCCGUACAAUUAUCUUUACCGAAAGAUGAAUUAGUCAUUAUAAAAUUUAUAAGGAUAGAAUGGUCCCGACAUGUAUCUUUUGCUAUAGUGUCAUAACUUAUUUGCACUUGAAAACAAGAAAAAUAAGGCUCUUUUAUCUUUUGCAAAAACAAGAACAAAAACAAGGUUUCAAAGUAUUGAGAUGGAAGUGGAACAUACCUUGUUGGGACUCGACCCUGACAUGUCUUCAAUACCUUCCAUAUAUUUGUCUCUAGCCUUGUCAUAUUCUUCUAGCUCCUCCUCCUUGUGAUAUUAAUUGAAUUUAUUAUCAAAUAUUCAAGUAGUCAUCCGUUAAUAAAAGCAAAUAUCUAAUAUUAAUUAUUUAUUUUAAAUUUUUUUAGACGCAAAGGCAUCAAUAUUACAAUAUAUAUAUAUAUAUAUAUAUAUAUAUAUAUAUUAAAAAGACACUAGUGAUUUAUUGUGCUUCUAGACAUAAUUUCUUUAGUGCUUCUAGACAUAAUUUCUUUACUAUUUUACCUUUAUUAAAGGUCCAAUUACCUUCACCAAAGAAUGCAUUAGUCAUUAUAAAAUUUAUGAGAACAAAAUGGUCCAGAUAUAUUUAUUUUGCUACACUGUAAAAAUUAGGCUUCGGGAAAAAGGCUCUUUGAUAUUUUGCAAAAACAAAAAUGGUGUGUUCACAUUCAUACCCUUUGACCCUAAAAAAAUUAAGACUGUUAGCGAGCGUGUUUUUGUCCUUUUGAUAUGGAUUUGCUGUAAUUCUCAAGUGGUGUCAAGGGCAUUCGGGUAUUUUAAUAUGCAUAAAUUAUUAUUUAAAUUUGAAGAUGGCUGGCACCUAUUUCGAACAAGCCAAUAAGUUGGCACCUCUUAUUUUUUUUUGGAUGGUGCAUGCGACGCUUAAAUUACACCGAAUGUUGCGGUGUUUGUUGCACCUCACCACCCAUAUCACAGUGGUGAGGUGCGUGUUCACGGUCGUGAUACAGAAGAGCAUUUGAUGCGAGUUUUUCCCUCCCUCCCUCCCUCCUCUUAGAAUACCGUGUUGGCCAUUGAAAAAAAACAAGAAAGCAUGAUUAUUUUGUUUGUUAAGUUAAAUUAGGUUCUUUUUUUUUAUUGCAAUGUAUUUGGUCUUGAAUUAUUUAUUGGGUUAAUUUAUUUUUUUUAAUUUUAUCUUUUAACAUUUGAUUAUAUAUGAUUUCGUUUUCAUUCUUUUAAUUAAAAUAUAUUUGGUCUUGAAUCAUUUACUAAGUUAUUUUUUUAUUUCAUACCUUUACACUUGAUUUUUUGUAUUAGAUUUUAUUUUCAUUCUUUUAAUUAUGGUGUGUUUGGUCUUGAGUCUUUGAUUAAAUUAAUUUGUUUUUGAAUUUCAUCCCUUGAUAUUUUUUUUGGUAUCAAAUAUGAUCCUCACUCUUUUUAUUGUUAAUUUAAGUUGUUCUUAUCUUUUUAUUUAUUGAAAUUGUUUCUCAAUUUCAUUCCUUAUAAUUUUCUUUUAUUUUGUGUGUCAAAUUUGGUUAUUUUUCUUUUCAAGUCUAUAUUUUUUAAACCACUUCUUUUUUAAUUUGUUUUUUCAAGUUUAUCUCUAAUUAUUUUGGUUUGUUGGGGAUUUUGGAUUGUUAUUUUUUUGGAUUUGCUUUUUAUGUUAUAAUCUGGCCUCAUAUUCCAUAUCACCAAUUCUUAUAGUUGAAUCGAGUUGGCUUCAGUCAUUUAAAAAAGAAUAAAAAUUGCAUCCAUCAUCAUUAAGUUCGUUGGAAAUUGUUUUUUUAUUCUUUUGUGAAUUUAAUUUUUUUAUUUUAAUUUUAAUUUUCAAUUCAAUAUUUGAUGAUAUUUGAGAUUUGACCAUCAAUAUUUUGAUUUCUAAUUUUUUAUCCUUUACCUUUUUUAACAAGUUUUAUUUUUUAUCCAAUUUCAUUCUUAUAUCAAUAAUCUAGAUUUUUUUUUAUUUUUUUUAAGAUUUGGUCCUCAUUUUCUUGGUUUUAAUUUUUUAUUUUGGAUUCAUUUGUUAAUUUGUUUUUUUUUUAAAUUUUGCCAUUCAAUUCAGAAUUUUUGUUUAUCCUUUUAGUUUUUUUUUCUUUUCAAAUGAGGUCCGUACUCUCUCAAAUGCCUUUUCUAACCCUUUAAAUUUUUUAUUUUAUCAUUUGAUAUUUUAUUUAUAUGGAUUUGGUCUCCUUGGUUUUUUCUAUUUUUUCUAUGCCCUACCCAGGAGUAAAUUUGAGACAAUUAUGGGGUCACAUGUUGAGUGAGUUGACUUGAGUGAACCCAAGUCAACCAAAAUUUUUUUUUAGUAUAAAAAAUUUAAAAUGAUAUCAUUUUAAAUAAAAUGAUAUCAUUUUAAAUAAAAUAAAAAAGGAAAAUAGUCAAUAGGUUUUGACCCUAUUUUGAUUGGAUUUUCCACGGGUUAACCAAAAGAUGGUUCAACCCAGGUUUUUGGUUGUCUUACAGUUGAUUAAUGUUCCAUAGGUUUAUUUGAUGAUUGUUGUUAUUUUUUUAUUUUUCUUUUCAAUAAGGUUUUUUCUAUCUGAUGAUCCAUGUAGGAGGUUUAUUCGGGUGACCCAGGUUUUUUCUAAUGUCUCUUUUUCAUCCUUUUUUAUUUUAUCCUUUAAUAUUCAAUUAUUUUUACAACUAAACUUUUUUUUAUAUUUUUUUAUAUUGAGUUAUCAUAUCAAUUUGAUUAUACUCGUGGGUUUUGACAAUCACACUUGUUUUUGCUCAUGCUUUGUUUUUUAAUAUUUUUUUCAUUGAUUUUUUUCUAAUUUUAUUUUUCUACAUUUUUAUUCUAAGGGAUUAACUGUCAUUAUUUUUUUAGCUCUUUUUCUAAGGUGUUGAGUCUUGAAUAUUUUUUUUCUUUAAAAUCUAAUAUCAGUGCUUGGACAUUGUUUUUUUACAUUAUAAAAAAAAAAAUCAGCCCGGACAACAACAAAGCAUCAGCCCACAGCAAAGUGUCUGGUUUGUUACUAAAAAAAAUUCAUUUUACCAAGGAUAAAAAAUCAACAAGGCUGGACACAAUAAUUGUACUGACUUGGAAAAGCUCUACCUUCCAUUAUUUGAAAGGAGACAUGUAUGGGUGUACUUUUGUUUUCAUGGUAGGUACUACAAUCCAACAAUUUGAAUAUAAAGAUAGGUAGAGUAUUAUAUAUCUGACCUAUAUAUAUAUAUAUAUUGGACCUCCAUUUUUGAAUUUACAUGUAUAUUUAAUUAUUAUUUAUAUUAUUUAAGAAUAAUUUUGUGAGAUAAUUAGGGUAAAGUAAUUUGAUUUUUUUAUGGACAAUACACUUUUUUUUAAUGAAAAUGUGCCGUGCAAAGAAUUGUAUCCAAUAAAGAUAAGUAUGGAAAACUAAAAAUUAGCUUCGAUUGAUGAUUGAUGGUAAUGCUAUUUAAAAAAACAUACUUGUAAGGGUGUACAAUACACCUUUUUUUUUUAUGAUUGAUGGAAUAUUAUCCUUUUUCAAUUUGUAACACUCAUAGAGCUUAAACUUUUUCAAUAUUAUCCAUCUGUUACCCUAAUUGUUAAAAAGCUUACUGUUUAAAAUUGGUUUUUGAAUAUUUUUUUUUUGUGGAAAUGUUUUUAAGCAAAUAAUAACAUCUAUGGGUGUACGAGAGUGGGUAUAUGAGAGGAAGUAAAAGAGAGAUGUAAGGAAAAUUGAAAGUUUUGAUAGUUAUUUAAAAAAGGGAAAAAAUGGAAACUAUUUAAGAAAACUAUAGGGUAACUUGGAAGGUUUUAAAGUAUUGAUAUGGAAGUGGAACAUACCUCAUCGAGGCUCGACCCUGACGUGGCUGCAAUGCCUUCCAAAUAUUUGCGUCUAGCCUUGCGAUAUUCUUCAUACUUUUUGUUUUUGUUGAAGAUUGCGGUGAAACAUCAAUCAAUUUAUUGUCAGAAAUUGAAGUAGUUAUAAGUUAAUAGAAGCAAAUAUCUAAUAUUAAUCAUUUAUUUCAAAUUUUUCUUAGGCACGAAGGCAUCAAUGUUGACUAGACUCAUGAUCCACGUGGAUUAAUAAAAUCACUUUAUUAAUGAAAUGAAGAAAACGAAAUGAGAACAUUGAAAUGGAAAUAAUCUGAUUUGUUAUUUUAUUCUGACGCCUAAACAAAUUUUGCCGAAACAUAUAAUUACUAUUACUUAUGAAUUUCCAAAAUAAUGAAUUAAACAAAAUAUAUAAAUUGAAAUAAUCUAAUUUGUUAUUUUAUUCUGACGCCUAAAAAAAUGCAUUAUCUAUCUAUCGAGGUACUUGAGAAGGAUUUUUGGUAUUCUUACCAUUUCAUUAAAUUCAGAAAAUAACAAGAAGUCGUUUGAUCCGUUAUAUUCGUACUGUUCGCUCAAGCCAAGAUGUAGCACGAGAAGGGAGACAUGAGUGAGUAACUCUCCACCUCUUCUCAGUUGUUGAGUAUGUUCUUUCCAUGGACAAUGAGCUGCUGCAUAUGCUACCAUUUCUACCCAAACUUCAUUUAUCAUCCACCAUCGCUUCUCGGGUCCCAAUGAAAGCAAUUGCCUGGCGAGCGCAUACACACCACGUAACACUGACUUUUCUAUUUUCCAGAGAGCUUGAAAUUCCUCAUCAUCAUAAACACGUGAUUCUCUGUUGCGCAAUUCUAGCAAGGUAUUUUGAUAGUUUAGACCCCGCAAGUCUCGCAAGGUACGUUGAUAUACCUCGUCACAGAAUCCUUUAGAGAGCAUAUUUGGUCUUAUCACCAAAAGAUACAUCAUGUAUUCAGAUAGGCAUCUGCUUGCUUCAUAUUCUUUGGAGACAUUGCUUCCAUCUUUAUUAUCAUCAAGAUAACAAAUAUCUGUUGCGAGAUGCCAGACAAGAAUGCUCCGACUGAAUUCUACUUCAGUCGUGCACCACUUGUAGUCCCGUAACAGUCCCUCUCUUUCUAGCACACCAUCUCCCCUCUGACCUAUUAUUUUACUUCUGUCAUUCUUAUCAAAGAAAUUCAAAUCUUCCUUCAUCUUCUCAGCUUUCUUUAGAAGAUGUCCGAAAAUAAAACCCUGUAGAUCAACAUUCAAAUCUUUCCGAUUCACAUGCAUCUGCCUCAUCAUUUCAUCGAUUCCCAGAAAUUCCAAGAAUUUAGGUGGCUCUCUUUCAAUGGAAGAGCUUUUCAGGUUAUACUGUGAUAUGGAUCUCGACCACCUCUCGCCUCUCGUUAACUUCCUUAUCAGAGAAUAAGUUGCUUUAGUCAGGCCGUUCCCUCCUUUAUCAAUCAACCAAAUCAUUGUCCAGUCAGACAAAACAAGGCAUAAAAAAGCAUAAAACUCGAGAAAAACAGCGGCCGCAAACAAUAAAUACGUGAUUGCAAUGUCGGUCUUUGAGUAGUCAUGCUUGUCAAUCUUGACCUGGAAGGUAAUAAACGCAGUAACACAGAGCAGAGAGCUGAUGCAGCGAAGAAUGAUUCCGGCACGGGAGUAAAUCAGAGGCGCUUUAGUAUAAAGCAUAUCAUAUAUCAAUCCAAGCUCAGCCUCUACCACCUUGAAGGCACCGUAUGCAUUAUUCUUGGAAAUCAGCUCCCGGCUUCUUAUUAGUGAAGAAAUGCCAGGGACAAGAUCCUGCAUCACAAACUUGGAUAUAUAUGAAAAAACAUAAGCUUGAAGAAGAUAAUUUUCCUGGAGAUCUUGUGGAGGAGUUUUUGAUUUUCUCGAACGAUUAUAAGAACGCCAAAAACCUCUGAGAGAGGAGUUUUUCAAACUCUUGGAGCAUGAAGACCAGAGCACCCAAGUCCUCUCUGCAUACUUUACAACGCCAACAACGAACACUGGGAUCGCUAUGAAUGUGAGGAUACCGCUACCCCAGGACCUUGAGAAGACAUAAAAAGCCACUCCGACUUGGACUACAAGACCAAGUAAAUGCCGUUUCCACAACUCGUUAUCUUCAAUCGAGUAUGCAGUGAUUGUGUCUGGGCCACCAAGGUGCAGGAGUAGAAAAGGUGCCCAAAAUGCCUGGAUGGAAUUGUUCGCAUUCUCUGAACUGUCACCUGAUGAAUCUCCUUGGCUCUUGGCUAGAUUACCCAGGGCAACAGUUGCCACCACGUCUGCUGAUAGGUAUGCAGACCAAACGAGCAUCCUGAUCCAGCUUCUGGCAUUGGUCUUUCGCCGAGACCCAAAUAUGAUGAGGAUGGUUUGUAGUAAGAGACUAAGCAAAACCAUUCCUCGAAUCUCCCAAUUGUUCCAUAAAUUUAAGACUUCUUCAGGCAAUUUUUUAAGCAUUGUCAUCUUUUCCCCAACUGUGGAAACUAGUUCUCUCGCUGAACACUUGAAAAACACAGUUUGGUAAGAUGAAAAGGUAAAUGUGGAUAUCUUUGAAAAAAUCUCUUAAAAUGAACAGCGAAAAUUAAAGGCUCUUACGAGAAAAGAAGAGGUGCAGAUGGAGGAAGACAAUGAACAAUUCUGAAGCCUUCUGCAAUUCUGAAAAAAGCACAGCCACCACAAUUCUGAAGCUUCGAUACCACGACUAGAGUUAAAACCCACCAAAAAUAGUAGCAAUAAGAGGUGCAGAUAGAGGAAGACAGAGAACAACCACUGCCGUUACCCACAUCAAAUUAUCGUCAUGAAGUCUUCCUCCCUCAGUAAUCGAUUAAAUGCAAUAUGAUUUCAUUAAAUUUGGGUUUUUUUUUUUAUUUAUGAGAGGUUCUUGAGAUGGGUUUACGUUGGAUAAGUGGAUUUGAAGGAAUCUGGAGAGGGAGAGAGUACUUUACUAAAAUUUUCUUUUAACUAUGAAUUAUUUUUCAAAGGAACUUUUCUAACAAUAAACAUAAAAAGUUUGGAUACUAUAGCCGUAGAGUCCAAACGGUAAGAAGACAUUGACCAUAUAAAUAGUUGGCUUUGCACUGUUCCAUUCUACACUUUACAUGGGAAAAGGAUAGCGAGAAAGGAAAUUGGCAUCAUACCUCAGUGGAACUUGACAGGACAUGUCUGUAUUAUCUCUCAGAUAUCUAUCAAUGGCCUCACGAUGUUCUUCCUCUAUUUUUGUUGAAAAUUGCAGCCCACACGCAAAGCCUUUAAGCGCUGAGACAAUACCUGGUCUUUUCCUCCUUUUUUUUUUUCUAAAUGUUUUUUUUUAAAUUAAUGUCUUUUCUUAAUAUAUGUUUUUUCAGAAUGAUUUUUAAAUUUAUAUUUAAAUUAAAAAAUCUUCUCUUUUUUUUCUUCAUUUAAAUAGCAAUUAUUUUUUAUUAUUUUGUAUGCAUUUAAUUUUUAAAGAGAUUAUUUUAAUUCAUAUAUAAUUGUUUUUAUGUUUUAAAUAACAAAUAUUUAUUUUUGGAUAAUAUUUCUAAUAUAUAUAACCUUGCAUAAUUUUUUUAAUUCAAUCAAUUUUAUGUUUGUCUAUUUAUAUUAAUUUUUGAAUAAAUAAACAUUAUGGACAAUGAAAGGCACUGCCUGCUCGGAUUAGCAGAUGAUCUCCUGCCAAUAUUGCAUAAUCGAACUACUUUAGUUCCCAGCUCUCUUAAACUUCUGCUUGGUCCAACAUGUCUUAAUUUCAUCACAAGAAGCCGCUUUGGGAGUCGCUUAUUCCAGCAUCGACUCUAUACUCACCCCCGGCAUAAGAACAAGCAAGUCUUGCGAUUUGAACGGCAUGCAAAAUCGCUUUCACAAACAAUAGUUACAUGUACAAGUAAGAAUUUGGUACCUGUUAUGGGUACAAAGCAACGAAGAGAUGCUAAAUAGUAAUAAAGAUAAUCAAGAGACUUUAAAUUUGUUAUCUAGGCUUUGAUAUCAAAGAUUCUAAUACUAUAUCAAAAAAUCAUUUUAAUUUUAUAGUUUAAUUUUCAAAAUAUAAUUUAUAUUAUUCUUUAAUAAAAAAAAUUACUCUAGAGUAUCUUUUUUGUUUUUCCUUUUAUGAAGGUUAAUCUGUACUUGAUCAUCAUUUUGUGCCGAAAAACCUCCUAUAAAUGCUCUACGCACCUGUUGAUGUUGUGUUAAAGCAGUUAAAAGAGAUCUCAGUUGCACAAUCUCAGCUAAAAGAGAUUUAUGUUAUUCUCUUGCUCUUUUGUUUGUUGUAUUAAAAAUUAUACUUUGCAUUCUUAAAAUUCAUUCUAUCAAGAAUUUUAUCAGUUAAUUGACAUAUAUGCAAACUAUUAAUCAUUUCUUUUGUUUAGUCAUUGCAAAUCAUUUCAUUUUCACCACAAUAUACAGACUAAUUUUGUUAUAUCUGAUUAAUUUUUGUUGGAAGAAGCACGAAAAUUAGAGUGUAACAGUUUUAUAAAUAAAAAAUGCAUGCAUGGUGUAAAGUUUUAAAAAACACACAAUUAAAAAUGUAUCGAGAAAUAUAAAAAAAAUGCGGUGGAUUUAUAAAUUUAAUCAUCAGAUUACAAAAUAAAUUAGUGAAAAUAAAAGGAUUAGAAACACUCAUUAAUAACACUACAAUGUUCAAUCAAUAUGACUUUGAGCGUGGUAAUUCUUCUACGAUGAAAAUAAAAGGAACAAGUCUCAAAUUAGACUCCUAAUUAUAUGGUGGGUUUCAAUUGAACGCUCUAAGAAAUUAAUUUUCAAUUUGAUCCCUAGUUUUAAGAAGUUUUAAAUUUUAUCCUUUCAUCUCCAAAAUUAGGACAAUAUUUUAAUGAAAAACAUCAUGUUUCCUUCACAUUAACAAUAUCGUUUUCAUUGCAUAGAAUGUGCGUUCUUGAUGAAAUCUAUUAGAAAAUGUGGAUGGAAGAACUCAAUGUGAAGUUUUGAACCUUUAGAGAUCCAAUUUCUUAAAGAUAAAUUUAAUUAAGAUAUGGCUCAUAAUUUUGAUAUUUUUUUAGCCUUGUCCCUUGAUUUGGCUUCCAAAAUUCCAAAAUAAUAAUAAUAAUAACAACAACAAGAAUAAUAAUAAUUAAUAAUGAUGUGGAUAAUUGUAAUAAACAGUGUUUAAAAGAGAGUUUUGCUAGCAUUGUUCAUGUCUUCGUAACAUCCUAAUUUUAAUUAAGAUAUGGUAGUUGGCUAGGAUACGAAGCAAAUAAUAGCAAGUUGUAAGAAUGAAGAAACUUUAAAUUAGUUGCCUUUUGAUUCCUGAAGGACAGAGAUUGCCUUCUUUUUUGGGAAACUUUAGGGUGCACUGGCUUGGGUACCAAGCAAAGAAGAGAUACUAAAUAGUAAAAAAAAAUGCAGUUUACAAGAUUAAAUUGGCUAUCCUUUCUCUUGAUGGCAGAGUUUUCUUUCUUUUUCUGGACACUUGAAAGAAGGAACACUGAAUAUCAUUGAGGCAAGUAGUAUAUUCUAGCUGAAUUUCUUGUAGUAAGAUGCUUGAACAUUGAACUCCCUUGAAAAUCAUGUAAAAUUAUUGUUGAUUUAAUAACUUAAAAUAUUUAGUUAAGAUGGUUCUUCUAUAUUCUUAACAAUAAUAUCGAAUUUGUUUUUAAUAAUUCAGUAAGCACACUAUCAAAGCUUCUCUUGAAAGACUAAAAGAAUUCACAUUCAAGCUGUGAUCCAAUAUUACAGUCAUUUCCUAACUUCUGAUCAAUUCUAUGAUAAAUGCAUACAACUUUUGGUAAAAUUAAUUUAUUAAACCAUAACGUUUCUUUCUCUUUCUCUCUCUAUUUUUUUUUUGACAUGAUUUCUUUGGAUAAUUUAGUUUGAUAUCUUCAUAGGAAUUUUGUGAGGUUUGGUUUUCUUUGGAGGAUUUUUAAAAAAACAGAUAUUUCUUGGACGUUAAGGGAUUUCGGGUUUGAGUGUGAGAUAUUUUAUUAGGAGGUUACUUUUCUUGAGAGGAUUUAUUGAAUAUUACACAAUUAUUAUUUUGGGUUAAAUGGUAUCAAGAAUUGGAAUCUAGUUUAAAAGAAUUCGCCAAUCGGUAUCAACACACUCAUUGGUCUGGUGGCUGACGAGUCCCCUCUCGUUCUAUCAAUAAAACCAGAAAGGAUGUGAUCUUUUGUUUCAAUUGUUGAACAUGACAAUUCAAAAGACAAAUGAUGCUCAUAAGAACUGUCGCGAGGGGCAUGAUGUCAUCUGGCGAUGGCGGAGGCUCUUGUCGUGCCUCCUGAUGAGGGGUGUUGUGUGUUGGAAAAUUAUGAUUAGUUUUUGGGAGUCGCCACCUAGUAUUAUGGUUACUAGGAACCUAUGGUCUGCGAAAGUCUGAGUAAGGGACUGGUUGUGCAAGGAGAAGAUGCAUCACCCCCAGUGCACCCUACCUAAGGUAAGCUGCAUUGUUGUUUGAUUGUUUUUAGGUUGAAUUUCUAUUUAUUGGUCUUAUCUAAGGCUCAAUGCAGAUCUCUCUUCAUGAGAGAGUCUCUACCUUAUCGGGUUAAAUCCUAACCGUUCUAAAGUCUGAAUACUAACAUCGUAUUUAUUUACAUAUUAUAUCUUUAAUACCUGAGGGUGUAUUUUAUCGUAUAAUUUUACACCCCACAAGUAUUAAAGUCUACAUCUAGAUCCUAAAAAAAGAUUGGAAAAAGAUUUUUGAUAUGUUGGCCAAAUCGUAAUGUAUAAUCAUAAACUAAUUACGAUAUCCAUUUUUUUUAACAUGAAAAAAAUGCAAUUUUAUUCUUAUUUUUUAAUGAAAAAUAUGCUUAAAAUUUUUUUUAGGAUUUGGCUGUAUGCAUGAAAUUUUUUUUUUAAAAGUAGAAAUUGAUUUAAAAGAUUUUUUUUGAAAUUUUUUUAAUUUUAAUUUUUUUUUGAAAUAUUUUGAAGAAAACCGAGUAUUUUAAUACCGGAUUUGUAUUUUACAGUGUAAAUAUACAAACUGAUAUUAUGCAAAAUUAGUAGAAAAAUAUUUAAGAAAAUCACAAAUUUUUUUAAAAGGAUUUUUGAAUUUUUUCAGAAUUUUUUUUUUAAAAAUAUAAUAUAUAUAUAUAUAUAUAUAUAUAUAUUAAAUAAAUAUUAUUAAAACAUGUGGGCUGGGUCAGCCCAGCUGAUUAGGCCGAGCUCAACCCCAGAAGAGAUGGGCCAAUAUCGACCCAAAAUGGUUGGGCCGAUAUCGGCCCAGAAUUUUAGUUUUUUGUUUUUUUUAGCCGGGCCAGACCAGCUGAUUGGGCUGGGCCAGAAUUGGCCUGACCCAAGUUUCAUGUUAAUUAUACCAGCAACGUGAACACUUACUGUUCACGUGUUGCAUGCAACCAAACGAUUGCAGGAGCUACUGACGAGCGGAGGAGGAGGCUACCGGUGUCUGUGGUCACUGACGUGAUCAGGAGGUUGAGCUGAUGUUCCGGGUGGCGUCUUUUCGAGGAACGGUGGAGGAAUUGGUCGCACUAAGUAGUUUCUCACGGUGUACUACUUCUGCCAUUUUGUUGCAGUAGGAUUUUAAAUGUGUUAUGGGGCAUUGUGUUCCAGUGUAUUUGAUGAAUUCAGGAACACGAAACUUUUUUGGGACAACCACAUUUGGGACCAGAUACAUUUCUGAUGCUCGUACUGGAUCAUACAAGUCUACCCUUUCAAUAGCUCUAAUCCGGGCUUCCAACGCAGCCAUCUUAUCUUGAUCAAUGUUAUUAGAUGACUUAGUCUUAUGAGACUCGUUAGGAAAUGGAUCUAUGACUGCAGGGGCUAGUGCUGAUGGCAUUGAGUGCACAAAUGCUGGAUCGUGUGGAGGUUCUUGACCAUGUUCACUCAUUGUUUCUUCGGGUUGAGCUGUUGUUGAAGGCUGAGCAAAAAUAGUUGGUUGAUUGGAAGGACCUUCACUAGAGGCUUUUCUAAGUGUUUGCUCGAGUAAGCUAGUGAGGCGAGCCACGCUUGCUUUCAGAGACUCUAACUCUUCUUGAAAAUGGGCGUCAUGGUGAGCACGCUUUUCAUCUUCCAUGUUUCUUGCUCAGAGUCGGGUGUUAUAGGCUUUUUGGGGACCUAUAUUUGAACCUGAUGCAAGUAUGUAUGUUAUUUACAAUGGAUGGAUGUAGGCGUGUGGAUGCAAAUGCAUAUAUAUUGGGUAUGAAUGGCAAAAACUCAUGCAAAAUGAAUAUGUAGGGAGAUCAUGCUCUAAAGGAAGGUUCUAGGUCAUUACAUGAUAGAUAGGCUUUCUACCUAGUCUUAAAAGGGUCUAUGAACUACCUAGUGACCACCUCACGUGAAGGCAGUAUAGGGGUUUACAAGGAAUGGUUGGGGCACACUGUGACCACCAUUAUCGAGUAAACACUCAGUUCAUAGUUGGAUGUUUCACGAAUCUGAACCCCGACUGAAAGUCAUGAGGCAGACCGCUACUCCCCACCUAACUUAGAAUUUGGGUUUAUUUGCAAAAUUAAAAUGCUAAAGCAGUAAAAAUGCAAGCUAAAAUUAAAGAACAACAAAAAAAAAAACAAGCAAACAAGCAAAGUUUAGUCCAACCAGACAAGGUGGUCCCCAGUGGAGUCGCCAUUUGUCGCGGGGGGCGCAACGGCGGAGGCUCUUGUCAUGCCUCCUGAUAAGGGGUGUUGUGUGUUGGAAAAUUAUGAUUAGUUUUUAGGAGUCGCCACCUAGUAUUAUGGUUACUAGGAACCUAUGGUCUGCGAGAGUCUGAGUAAGGGACUGGUUGUGCAAGGAAAAGACGCAUCAACCCCAGUGCACCCUACCUAAGGUAAGCUGCAUUGUUAUUUGAUUGUUUUUAGGUUGAAUUUCUAUUUAUUGGUCUUAUUUAAGGCUCAAGGCAGAUCUCUCUUCAUGAGAAAGUCUCUACCUUAUCGGGUUAAAUCCUAACCGUUCUAAAGUCUGAAUACUAACAUCGUAUUUAUUUACAUAUUGUAUCUUUAAUACCUAAGGGUGUACUUUAUCGUAUAAUUUUACACCCCAUAAAUAUUAAAAUCUACAUCUAGAUCCUAAAGAAAGAUUGGAAAAAGAUUUUUGAUAUGUUGGCCAAAUCCUAAUGGAUAAUCAUAAAUUGGUUACGAUAUCCAUUAUUUUUUUAACAUGAAAAAGAUUCAAUUUUAUUUUUAUUUUUUUAAUAAAAAAAAUGCUUAAAAGUUUUUUAGGAUUUGGUCGUAUGCAUGAAAAUAAUUUUUUUAAAUAGAAAUUGAUUUAAAAGAUUUUUUUGAAAUUUUUUUAAUUUUAAUUUUUUUGAAAUAUUUUGAAGAAAACCAGGUAUUUUAAUACCGGAUUUGUAUUUUACAGUGUAAAUAUACAAACUAAUAUUAUGCAAAAUCAGUAGAAAAAUAUUUAAGAAAAUCACAAAUUUUUUUUAAAGGAUUUUUGAAUUUUUUCAAAAAUUUUUUUAUAAAAGAAAUAUAUAAUAUAAUAUUAUAUAUAUUAAAUAAAUAUUAUUUAAACAUGUGGGCUAGGUCGGCCCAGCUGACUGGGCCGAGCUCAGCCUCAGAAGAGAUGGGCCAAUAUCGGCCCAAAAUGGUUGGGCCGAUAUCGACCUAGAAUUUUAGUUUUUUUUUUAGGUCGAGCCAGACCAAUUGUUCUGGCCCAGCCCAAGUUUCAUGUUAAUUAUAUGCAGCAACGUGAACACUUACUGUUCACAUGCUGCAUGCAACCAAACGGUUGCAAGAGCUGCUGACGAGCGGAGGAGGAGGCUACCGGUGUCUGUGGUCACGGACAUGAUCAAGAGGUUGAGCUGAUGUUCCAGGCGGCAUCUUUUCGAGGAACGGUGGAGGAAUUGGUCGCCGGUGGCAGAGGAAGUAGAAGAAGAAAAAGGCAAACGAGAAGCUGCAGAGAGGAGAGAGAAAGGUUCAAGGUGGCUCUCGGUGGUUGGUAGGUAGCUUCCAACGGCGGAGUUGGUGGUGUAUAGGCUGUUGGUGGCUUCGGUUGGUGGCUGGAAAGGCGGAGAGAGAGUGUAAAGAAAAACUGCAGAAACGGGGGCAGAAGGGCUGGUUUAUGGCCGACUUUGGACCCAAUUUUCUCCUCGCUCAGGUCAUCAACGAAGCCUCUAUUUAUAGGCGGUGGAAGAGGGUAAUCUCGUCUACACCGGGGUAAAAUUUCAGCCAUUGAUUCAGUUGGGAAGGAUUCUAACCGUUGGCUCAAAGUAGACAUCCUGAGUUGUCAAUUCUGCAGAAAAAGCUGUCUGAGUGGGUAUGUUUAAGCCAGCUCCGGCGCCGCGUGGUCGUCAUUCAGACUUAAAUAUUCAGACGGGGAUGUAUAGUGACUGUAGAGGAUCAUUUUCGUGUAAUUUUGGUUAAAUUUGGUGGGCGUUUAGUGCAUUAAAUGCACCUGCAAAGUAGACUACCGAACCAGCUUUAACCGGGUAAAAGAAGAAGACAAUGAAUAGUGACCACACGACACGUCGUCUGGUCCUUUCUUCUUCUUCUUUUUUUUUUUGUAAAACCGCACCGUUUUGGACUGGAAUAGGGAUUUUUACUAAAUUUCAAUUGAGUCCUCUUUCUUUUAAUUGCUUUCAAUUGAACCCCUAAUUAUCACACUUUUAUUUAAUUAUCACACUUUUAUGAUAUGACCUUGCAGCCAGACCCACAUCCAAGACUAUUGGGUCUGGUAUUGCAGUCAGACCCACUUAAAGUUGAGUCAUGCAAGUUUAAUAUUAUUAUUAAUAUUAUAAAUAUUACUCUGAGGUCAGGCGUUGCAGCCACACCCAAGACUCUUAGGUGUAGCUUUACAAAAAAACCUAAUACUUUUAGAUCUUAAUUUUUUUUGAUAUCUUUUAUACAAAAACUAUUGACCCGCGGGUCGUGUAACUAGUUUAAAGAAUAUCGUGAUCAUAUAGAAAGUAUCCUCUUAAUAUUAUUUUAAAGAAUAAUAUUAAGAUAAUUUAUUGAACUGACUACUGUCUUGCUUCGAUGGGGGACAAUAUUUUCCUCUUUGUUCAAGGGCAUUUUUGUCCGAGAAAAAAGCUGAGCUCACCGUCUCGCUCAAGUCCUGCUGAACAAAGAAAAGAACGAGCAAUGAUUGAACGGCACCUCCAUCGGAUUCCAACAUUUUUCCAAGAAGAUGCUUCACAAUUAUUGCUCGAUGUGGGACAGUGUGUUUCUGUUUGCUUCAAGUCCUCCAAAAACAAAUAAUCGGUACAAUGUGUUCUUGGUUAUUGCUCGAUUGUGGGACAGUGUGUUUCCCGUUUGUUUCAAGUCCUCCAAAAACAAAUGAUGGGUACAAUGUGUUCUUGGAUUCCAACAUUUUUCCUAGAAGAUGCUUCACAAUUAUUGCUCGAUGUGGGACAGUGUGUUUCUGUUUGCUUCAAGUCCUCAAAAAACGAAUAAUCGAAACACCGUGUUAUUGGAUUCCAACACUUUUUCAAGAAGAUGCUUCACAAUUAUUGCUCGAUGUGGGACAGUGUUUCCCGUUUGCUUCAAGUCCUCCAAAAACAAAUAAUCAGUACAAUGUGUUCUUGGAUUCCAACAUUUUUUCAAUAAGAUGCUUCACAAUUAUUGCUCGAUGUGGGACAGUGUGUUUCCCGUUUGCUUCAAGUCCUCCAAAAACAAAUAAUCGGUACAAUAUGUUUCUGCCUUUUGUUUUUAUACGUAUAACUUCGAUUUUUUAGAUAAAAAAAUAACAAAAUUUUUAAUAUCUAAUUUUUUUUAGAUAAUAAAAUAAUAAGGAAAAUAAGAUUCAAUUAGUAUAGAAAAAUUUACAUGAUACAGAUGAAUAAAAAAAUAAUAUAUAUAUAUAUAUAUAUAUAUAUAUAUAUAUAUAUAUAUAUAUAUAUAUAUAAUGUGAUAAAAAAAAGAAAAUCGAGCAAUUCAUAUCUGUUGAAUGAAAUUGAAAAGAGAAAUUUAAAGGAUUAGUUUUAAUCACUAAAAUCAAAUGAUAUCUUAAAAAUAUAUUCACCAAACACAACGAAUGUAUUCCGUGUGGGAUCGAUAAUGUAUUUUAAUCACUGUUAUCAAAAUUCGUACAACUUCGUUUGCUUUGGUGUGGGAUAAUGUGUUUUGUUCAAGGAUGUUGGGCUUUAUUUACAACACAAUUUCUAAAUUAAAAUAAAAACAAUAUUUUUUGAGCUCCAUUAUUUUUUUAAGACAUGCUAUUUUUUUUUAAAAAAAUCACUAUCCUAUGCUAUUUUCGUUCAAGGAUAAUUUUUUUAAAAAUACAAAAGCUAUUAGGUUAUUUAUUUGGAAUGUCUUUGAUGUUUUAAUUGACUUUCACAAACGUUUUAUCAAGUUUACUAGCUAUUUCAAACUAUUUCAAACGUGACACGUACGAGUUGGAUAUUUGUUUUUCAAUAAAAAAAUUGAACAAGCAAGUUUUUCCAACAUGUUUUUUAAAUAAAAAAUUAAAUAUAAAUUAAAAAAUUUAUGUAUGCAUAUAAUUAAACAAAACAAGAGCCAUUUAUAUCAAUAAAUGAAAAGAAGUCAGUAACAAUAACUAAAUAUAUAUCUUGAAAAAUCGAGAAACAAAUAUAAAUCAAGAUACUUGAUCUAGCAACACAGAUCAUUUAUUUAAUUGUAUUCAUUACAUUCUUUAUUCAAUCAAAUGACAAUAAAAAUAGACGCAUAUAUAAUAUUGAUUGAAUAAAAUUAAAAGGAAAAAAAUCUUAUAAAGUUGUACUUAUUAGAAAUACUAUUCAAAAAUAAAUAUUUAUUAUUUUUAAAACUAAAUCUCAAUUAUAUAAUAGAUAAAAAAAAUUAUAGAUAAAUUAGAAUAAUAUCUUAAAAAGUUAAACAUAUAUAAAAUAAUUAAAAAAACAACAACUAUUUAAGGCAUGAUAAAUAGAAAAAAUAAGAAAUUAAAGAGAGAGAAAUGAUAUUAAUUUAAAUAUAAACUAUAAAUUUAUUUAUCAAACACAUAUAAAAAAGUAUUGACUUUUUUUAAAAAAGACAAAAUUAUAUAUAAAAAAAAAGGAAAAAGGCCAAUGUCUGGCUCAAUAGAAAUGCCUCGUGUCAAUUUAUGUUUUUAUUUUUUUUAAAAAGAUAAAAUUNNNNNNNNNNNNNNNNNNNNNNNNNNNNNNNNNNNNNNNNNNNNNNNNNNNNNNNNNNNNNNNNNNNNNNNNNNNNNNNNNNNNNNNNNNNNNNNNNNNNUAACAAAAAUAAACUUCAUUACUGCAAUUGAAUUGCAAAGCUAUUGGAUUUAAGUACUAUUUAACGAAAACGAGUCCGAGCUGCGAGUGGGAAGAUAACCGAAGGCCCUUAGGUGCGACAAUCAGCACCUGUUUUCUUCUCACGUUUUUGCUUCAAGUCCUGAUAAAAACAAAGAAUGGAUGGCAUGCAGCACGAGUCAAUGGUGCGACAGUAUAUGGCACUCCAACUCACCCACCCUCCAACAACAUCUCUUCAAAUAAAUAUAUGAUUUACUCUGUUUUUUCAAGCAAAGAUUUUUAUUCAUUAUACUCUUGGGAGCAACGCCAAAAACGUUUGUGAGACAUCAGUUUCUCUUUAACCUUUUUUUUUUUAAUUUUCGAUCAAGAACUAAAGAUAAUGCGAAAAGGUAUCAAGUUAAAAUACCUACCACCUGUUGAUUUCACUGCUCACUUUAAUAUUCAGAUUCAAUUCACCAAUAUAAGACCCUUAUCUUCUCUAUUAAAAACUAUAUAUUUCUUCUCUUUAAUUACCAAAAUAUAAAAUAUAAAAAAUUACAAGAAUCUAAUUCAAGAUUGCAAGGAAGCGAACAAGGACAGGUUAUGCACUGACAUCUUAGAGAGGGAAAUGAGAAGGAAUACAAUGGCCGGGAGUGCCUCCAUCACUUCCCAUACAAUGGAUGAUGAUCUUCACAUGAAGCUGCUAUACCUGAAGAACAGAGGUAUAUUGUUCUGCACGUGAUAACUUUGGAUCAAAUCACUAGUCUUUUUGCUGAAGCCAGUGCAUCGUUCAUAUGCACUUUCAGCUCCAUGGGACUCGAUUUUGCUUUUGGAUUGCAUUGAAUUGAAAAUUUGCUUCUUUUUCUGGCUUAAUCUGCAUAAUUUUGUUCCUGUUUACAAUUAGCUUGCCUUUUCCCCUAAGAAUUUCAAGAUUAAUAUGCCAAAAGCUGAAGUUUUUUGUUAGUUUACUGAAAUCUCUUACUUGCACAUAGAGAGAAAUCCGGCAAUGAUAUUUUCAGAUACUCUGUUGAGAUACCUACAUAUUAACAGUACUGAUCUUCUUGCUGCUUUAUCCGAGCUUUAAAUUCCUUGGUUUGGGUGCUGGGGGUGUCCUGCUAGCUAUCCUGUCUGCUCUUCUCCAAAUAAGAGCUUUUAUGCUCUUUCUAUUUUAGUCUCCUAAUCUACCAUGCAAUCUUGAUGAAAAUAGAGAUUUUCUUAAUGGCAUUUGAUGCGCACAAAGGUGAAGGCAUCCCAUUGAUUUAUGGCUUUAGCACCUUUUGUUCAAUUAUGAUCUUGAUUGAUUCAAAUGGAUAUCUACCAUCGCUUAUAAUUAAAUGUAUGAUCAAGUGUUGUGGUGUACAUCACAGUGGCAUUUGCAAGAUUAUUCUUCCCUACUGAAGCCAAGCUAGCCAUGGACAUUGGACAUACUGCAACAACACCAGAAUUCGCUGGUCUUGCUGCAUCAAAAGGUUCUGACGGGAAUUUGAGGGGGGCUGACCUAGAUGAGACACCAAUAAUGCAGAACAUAAGACUUCGUUCUAGGAUGGAAGCCCUAACGAAAACAGGUACAUGGAAACUAUGAAUCCUUCUGUUUCAGGAACCAGCAUCAGGACAUGUUAUAAUGUGUUAUCAUUACGAGAGUCUUAGAAUAUUUUAAUCUGAUUGAAUCAAUUGAAUUCCCAGAAAACUAAUGCAGGAUAUGAAGCCCCUGAUACAUGGACAAUGGAAUCUGGUUCAAUCAUCAAUAGUAUUUCGUAAAAACAUUUUCAAAACUAUUCAACUCAAUAGGCACACUGAAAAUUUUGCGAGAACCCACCUGGUGAGGUGUAAGACUCCAUCAAUACUGGCUUGUAUAGCUCGGAAUCCUUUGGCUGUACCAUGUUAGAAGGCAACUCAAGAAAAAUGUUCCUGAUUAAAAUUCCGCAUCGAAAAGAUUUCAAGAAGAGCUUCAUGCCUGUUAUAGCAGCAAUGCAAGGACAAUGGUACCAAAUCAACAAUUAAAAUGAGAGUGAUGAGCAUUGUAAGGUGGCUUGAUAGACACAUCAAAUGUCAUGGAAACUUAAUUGCUUGAAUACGAUGAAGUACGCUUUGAAAUUGAAACAAGAAUAAUAGUUAUAUAAUUAUCUACUAUAUAUCUAUCCAGAUGUAUAGCAGAUCAGAAACAAGGCAGCUUACCUUGUCCAGUUGAAUAAACGGAUUGACAUGUGAAGCAUCAGAGGAGGCUGGUUUUUCUUAUGUUAAUGGAUUGUCAUAUUAAGCUCUGCUUCUUGGCACCUCUCUGUCUAGAGCCUCCCAUCUAAUUUUUCCAGGAAAAACCUGUGUGUGAGAGGAGAGCUGCUUGAGAUGCAGCCAUCUAAAGAAAGGUAAAAAAAAAGUGUUUGAAAACAUUGAGCAAGUUUGUGCGUAGCAUUACUGCUCUGGGCAGCCGGAAAAUUAGAAAUUAAUUUUUUUAAUAUUUUAAUAUACUAUUAUCAAAAAUAAAUUUUAAAAAUAAAAAAAUAUUAUUUUAAUAUAAUAAAAAAUAUUUUAAAAAACCAUAAAAAAUAGAAUUAAUUAUUUUUAGUAACUAUAUGUUAUUGUUCUAAUUAUUUUUUAGUUUGAAUAAAACUUCUAACAAAUUAGAUUUUAAUAGAAAAGAAAAGGUUCUAUAUAUAUAUAUAUAUAGAUAUUAAAUUUUUAUUUUAAUCAUAAAGUUAAUAAAAUUUUCAAAAUAUUCAAAAUAUUUUAAUAAAUACAACCAAUCUGAAUGUACGAAAUUAAAUUUAAAUAAUUAUAUAGAAUUAUAUAAGUUUUUAGUUGAUAUUAAUUUUGAUCGAUAGCUUAUAAUGGCAUGAGAACAUGAAAAACAGCGUUCAACGCCUCUCAAGAUUAUUUUUUAGGAAAAAAAAAAAAAACCUUCAUUCUAAAAGAAAAAUCUCUUCUCUUCUCCUCAUCUUUCGUGCUCAAUCACCCUGAAAAAAAAAAGCACAGCCACCACAAUUCUGAAGGCUCGGCACCACGACCAGCGUUAAAACCCACCAAAAAUAGUGGCAAUAAGAGGUGCAGAUGGCGGAAGACAGUGAACAACCACUGCCGAUACCCACAUCAGAUCUCACCGUCAUGAAGUCUACCUCCCUCAGUGAUCGAUUAAAUGCGAUUUGGUUUCAUCAAAUUUGGGUUUGUUUUGAUUUAUGGGAGGUUCUUGAGAUGGGUUUGUGGUGGAUAAGUGGAUUUGAAGGAAUCUGGGGAGGGAGAGAGAGUAUUUAAAGAUUGUUUUAGGAUUUCAAGCUCGAAGAUUGCUUGAAGAUUUAAGUCAAAGACCUGAAUCUUAGGCUUUUCUUACUUUAUUAAAAACACUUUAGAAAAAAUAUGGUGUGGCCCACGAUGGGCGGACCAUCACUCUAGUGUUACUAAAAUUAGAAUCACGAGAUCAAAUUUAUAAAAAAAAUCAAUACAAAAUGAGCCUUUAAACCCAAACGCAGCGAGAUACUCAGUUCACCACAUUCCUUCUCGAGAAAUUCAUAGUACUCUUAUUUUUAUUCUUCAAUUGAUAAACACAAAUGUUUUGCUCAUGUUCUUUCUGACUAUGGAUACAACAUAUUACUCUUAUUUGAAGACUAAACUCAUCUUAUUAUUAAUUUGAUAAAGAUUGAAUAAUCCCUUGAUCACCAGUCUGUGCAUGCUGGUGAACCUCCUUAAAGAGCAUGAAUCCCAUGCUAUGGAGUUGAUGCAACUAAAAAGGACCUUAACUGCUCAAGCUCUCGCUCUUUACGCUCAAGCUCUUCGUCUUUAUAUGCUACCGUCCUUUUCAGUUCUUUCACCUCCUUCAAAAUAGUUGUCAUUUUGGAACUCAGCAUGAAUAAUUGCCAGAUUUUUUAUUAAUCUACGCACGCAACUUUUUCUUAUUCAAAAAAUAGAAAUUAGGAGUCCUAUGAAUUUCAAGUUAAUUUUCUCAUUCCAAUAUAUAGAGGUAAUUUGACUAAUUUCCUAUUGUUAAUCAAUCAACGUUUGCUAGCAAUUAAGUACGCAAAUUAAGUGCAACUUUGUGUGGUGUAAAAAUUCUGCAACGCAACAUGAAUAUGGCUUUAAAAAUUAAGUAUUUAGUAUUGUGAUGAAAUAUAUUUUAUUUAAAAAUACAUUAAGAUAUAAUUUUCUAAUGAACAAUGUAUUUUAUUUAAGGAAUAAUUAAUACAGACGUCCAAGCUAAAAAUUAUAUGGAUCUUUAUUAAAAGUCUACCUCCAAUAAAAAUAAAUAUAGAGGAUUGAAAAUUAAUUUCAAUGAAUGUGAAGGCAAGUAUAAAAUUUAGAAGGAAUCGUGGAGGUAAGAGGUAGACCUCUAUUGCCAUGCCCAAGAGGGUUGCAUCCAGUCAUAUAACUUGAUUUAAAAUCAAAUAAUUUUUAUGAUAAAAGAUUAAAAUAAAAAAAAUUUAAUUAAAAAAAAUCAAAGUUGGUAUAAAAAUAAAAUUAAAUCUAAAUCUAUAAUUAAAAAAAUAACAAUUAAAAACUUUUCUAUAAUUGUUGCCUCGGACUUGACAAAUAUUCAUGCAUUGUUGUAAAACAAAGACGUGUGCAGUAAAAAGCCAGUGGCCAUAUAAAUAAUUGGCUGUGCACUGUUCCAUUCGACACUUUACCUGAGGAAAAGAAUAGCGAGAAAGGAAAUUGGCAUCGUACCUCAGUGGAACUUGACAGUGACAUGUCUGUAUUAUCUCUCAGAUAUCUAUCAAUGGCCUCACGAUAUUCUUCUCCCUCCUUUAUAUUUUUUGUUGAAAAUUACGGUGAAACAUCAUUCAGAUUGUUGUCAAGAAUUAAAGUAGUCAUCAGUUAACAUAAUCAAAUAUCUAAUAUUAAUAAUUUAUUCCAUAGUUUUCUUAGACACAAAGAUCAAUAUAUGGUACUCGAUGGAGAUAAUGUACUUGAGAAAGAUUUUUGGUAGACUUACCCAUGGCAAUACCAGAUCAUGACCACGUAUGUAAUCAUUUAAUGAAUUGUAGUCUUUUAAUGAAUUGUAUUCAUACUGUUCGCUCAAACCAAGAUGUAGCAUGAGAAAGCAGACAUGGGUGAGCAGCUCUCCACCUCUUCUCAGUUGUUGAGCGUGUUCUUUCCAUGGACAAUGAGCUGCUGCAUAAGCAAGCAUUUCCAUCCAAACUUCUUCGAUUAUCUCCCAUCGCUUCUUAAAUCCCAGCAAACGCAAUUGCUUGGCGAGCCUAUCCCCACCAGCUACCGCUAACUUGGUUUCUUUCCAGCGAAAUUGAAACCGUAUAUCAUCAAUAACAUAUGAUUCAUAGUAGAACAGAAUUGCAUCUACAACUUCCUCCUUACUUAUGAUGCUAUCCAAGUCUCGCAAGGAAUGUAGAUAUCCCUCAUCACCGAUUCCUUGGGAUAGCGUAUCUGGUCUCAUCACCAAAAGAUACAUCAUGUAUUCAGAUAGGCAUCUGCUUGUUUCAUACUCUGAGGGGACAUUGUUUGCAUCUUUAUCAACACAGUAACAGAUCUCUGUUGCGAUGCCAGACAAGAAUGCUUCGACUGAAUUCCACUUCAGUUGUGCUCCACUUCAAGUCCUGUAACAGUCCCUCUCUUUCCAGCACACCAUCUCCUCUCUGACCAAUUAUUUUUCUUCUGAAAUUCUUAUCAAUGAAAUUGAAAUCUUCCUUAAUCUUCAGAGAGUUCUUUUGGAGGUGUCCGAAAAUAAAAUCUUGUAGUCCACCAUUCAUAUCUUUCCGAUUCACAUUCAUCUGCCUCAUCAUUUCAUCGAUUCCCAGAAAUUCCAAGCAUUUAGGUGGCUUGCUUUCAAUGGAAGAGCUUAUCAGGUUAUACUGUGCUAUGGAUCUCGACCACCUCUCGCUUCUAGUUAACUUCCUUAUCGGAGAAUAAAGAGCACUACUCAGGGCGUUCCCUCCUUCAUCAGUCAACCAGAUCAUUGUCCAGUCAGAGAAAAUAAGGCAUAAAAAAGCAUAAAACUCGAGAAAAAUAGCGGCCACAAACAAUAAAUACAUAAUUUGUUAAGUCGAUCGUUGAGUAGGCAUGCUUCUCAAUCUUGACUUGGAAGGUAAUAAACGAAGUGAAAGUGUGCAGAAAGCUGAUAGAGCGAAGAAUGAUUCUAGCACGAGAGUAAAUCAGGGCGCUUUACUAUAAAGCAUAUCAUAUAUUAAUCCAAGCUCAACCUCUACCACCUUGAAGGCACCGCCAGCGGAAUAUUUGGACAUAAGCAACUGGCUGAGCAUUAGAUCCACAAGGCUAGGGACAAGAUCCUGCAUCAUAGACCUGGAUAUAUAAGAAAAAAUAUACGCUUGACGAAGAUAGUUUCCCUGCAGAGCUCGUAGACCAAUUUCUUUUAUUCUCUUCAGAUGAUAAGAACGCCAAAAAUCAAAGAGAUUAGAGUUUUUCAAACUCUUGGAGCAUGAAGACCUGAGCAUCCAAGUCCUCUCUGCAUACUUUACAAUGCCAACAAUGAACAUUGGAAUCGCUAUGAAUGCGAGGAUACCGCUAGGCCAAGACCUUGAGAAGACAUAAAAAGCCACUCCGACUUGGACUACAAGACCAAGUAAAUGCCUUAACCACAACUCGUUAUCUUCAAUCGAGUAUGCAGUGAUUGUGUCCGGGCCACCAAGGUGCAGGAGUAGAAAAGGUGCCCAAAAUGCCUGGAUGGAAUUGUUUGCUUUUUUUGAACCGUCACCUGAUGAAUCUCCUUGGCUCCUGGCUAGAUUACCCAAGGCAAUGUUGGAAUAUUGCCAAUUAUGUGGCUGCCAUUGUCAAAGAAGAUGGCUGCCAUGUGAGAGUCAAAGAGGGCUGCUGGUGCAGCAUUUGCAGCCCCUUGACAUUGUCAAAGAAGGAGGCUACAAUGGUGGGUUGUUGGUUGCAGCCAACAACCAUUGUCUAAUGUCAAAGUUUGGUAAGUUUGACAACCAUCAUUGUUGACAAAGGAGCAAGAGGAGCUGUCAUUGAAGGCUAUAAAUAGACACCAAGAGUGCAGCAUAAAAUGAGAGAGAGAGUCUAGUAGUAGAGCUACAAAAGAGAGAAGAAGAGAGAAAGAAAGAGAAGGGCUGCCACCAGCAGCCCUGCUGCCAUAUGCAGCUGCUGCCCUAUGUAGCAAUGAGAGAUGGGAGUUGAGUGGAUGUGAUCCUCCUCCGUGUGUUGUAUUCUUUCUCUAUCUCUAAUAAUAUUGAUCUCUCCCGUGGAUGUAGGCAAUUAGCCGAACCACGUUAAAUAUUGUGUCAGUGUGCUUAGCCUCCUUUGAGAAAUGAUCAUGAACACCACCAUUCCGCAGGGGGAGCAGAAAUCCCCAACAAUUGGUAUCAGAGCCACCACUAGUGGUUUCUCCCACCAACAAAUUGGUAUCAGAGCCCCGUUCGUCAGAAAACAGAAGUGUUUUGGGAGAUAUCCGAAUUUUCAAAGUUGUCAAAAACAAGUGUUGAUCAUUCCACCGUGUAGAGCUCAUCCAUACGAACUCACUGCCGCAAAAAUCAGCUCAAUCGGACACCGGGGUGUGCGCCACACGCGUCGCCUGAAAGUUCUGUAACUGUAGCCCAGUCGCACCCACGCGCUCCAGAGGAAGAAGACGAGUGCCGUCCACGCGCACCAUAUUCGAGCCGUGUAAGCCGAUAUCCAGCCGAGCUGAUCUUUAGCUGCAGCCGAGCCGAUAGAAUAUUGCACAGAAUAUUCCCGGUUCAACCCAGCGAACCGCCCGACGCCAAGAAUUGGGUUUUUGACCGGUUCACCCAUUUUCUGACCUGAUUUCUACAAAGUCAGACCGGUUCCCGACUAUUUUGACCAUUCCGGAUCGAUCGACAGUGUCUGUUUUGCCAAAUUCAACUCCCAGAAGGAGAUAUAGUCAUUCAAAGAGCAAAAUGACUACAGAAAGUACACAAACACUCAUCCCGAAGCUGACCAAAGACAACUAUGAUAGUUGGUGCAUCAGAUUAAAGGCAUUCCUUGGUUCACAAGAGUGUUUGGAGAUUGUACACUAUGGUUAUGAUGAACCAGAAUCCAAAGAAGAAGAAGAUGCUUUACAAGAGGCACAGAAGCUAGCCCUGAAAGUCAACAGAAAGAAAGACAACAAAGCAAAGACGAUCAUCUAUCAAGGUCUUGAUGAAGACACAUUCGAGAUCAUUGCUUCCGCUGAAACAUCACAUGACAUAUGGGAGGCUCUCCAACAAAAAUACAAAGGUGCUGACAGAAUCAAGAAGAUUCGUCUUCAAUCUUUGCGAGGUGAAUUUGAGUUAUUGCAAAUGAAGUCCUCGGAGUCUAUUUCUGAUUAUCACACAAGAAUUAUGGUGAUAGUCAAUCAGAUGAGGAGAAAUGGAGAAGCCAUCGUCGAUUCCCGAAUUACUGAGAAAAUUUUGAGAUCCCUAGAUCCAAAAUUUGAUUUUGUUGUUAUCGCUAUUGAAGAGUCCAAGGAAGUGGACAAGUUGACAGUUGAUGAGCUUAUGAGUUCUUUGCAAGCUCAUGAGCAGAAGAUUGUAAAGCGAAAUGGAGAUAAGGCCAUCGAGCAUGCCUUACAAGCAAAGUUGUCACUCAAAGAGAGAUAUGAGCAAGAGGAGACUUCAACAAGUGGAUAUACCACUCAAGCAAGAAGUCAACAAUCCAGAGGAGGAUUUCAGCAAUUCCAAGGAAGAGGAUCUUGGAAUACAAGCUUUAGAAGAAGAGGUGGUAGAAACACCACUAGAGGAGGUCGAGGACAACAAGCAUUCACUCCUAGAGGAAGAGGAGGCGGUUACAAUGACCGUAAUGCAGCUUCUUCUCUGUCAUCCUUCUCUGCAUAGUUGGCUUGCUCACAUAUCUCCAACGGAGCUUUCCUUCUGCAUUCAGUGCUAUAGUGCCCAAAUUGAUUGCAACUAUAACAUUGGAUAUUUCUCUUGUCCAACAAGAACUUGGCGAGAAAUCUGGAGAACAGAAAUUGCACGAGGGCACACGGAGAUUGUGCAAGAGUACCCGUGAUCCAACGAGGUACUGUAAUAAGACAACAGGUGCAAGGAGAAGAAGUGUUCCCAGAUGAAGCUCAGAGCAGAGACUAUGUGUGAAGGUUGUACAACAGGAAGUCUCUUAUGCUCUUGAUGAAGACAACAUGUAAAGACCUUUCCAAUACAUACAAGGAUGGAAAGAGAGCUGUUGCAGAGGCACCUAAUUGAGGGGGUGCAAACGCCUGUGAUAAAAGGCGACCGCCUAUGAUGAAAGGCGAAUACACCAAAGAGAGUUGAUGUAGGUGGAGCUGUCAAGCAGAAAGGCACAGAAGCUCCAAACAUAGAAAUCGAGGUAGAGGAUUGCGAGGAGUAUACUGCAAGUUUCUCUUUCUAUGUAAUCAGUGGCAGUUAUCUCUCCCAUAGUCCACAUGGUGGUAGAGAAUUUUGGAGCCACUUUGAUACAUCCCAGCUGAAAGAGGAUGUGACCGCCUAUGAAAGCCGAAGACACCUUAGAGAAGGUGUGAGGGUCGUGAUAUGAGCUCAAGUUCAGACCGCCGUAUGACGACAAGCGGAGACACCUCAGACAGAAGGUGUGUGGGCCACAAUAUGAGCCCAAGUUCAGACCGCCCUAUGACAACGGGCGAAGACACCUUAGAGAAGGAGUGAGGGCCAUGAAAGGAGCCCAGUUCAGAACACCUCAAAGCUAAUGUGAUGGCUAGAUAUGAGUGGACAGGUGUAUAGCCAAUGAAGUGGUUAUGAUGAGUAUGGAUACAAACGCAGGAUUGACUUUCAUGCCCCUAGGCUAAAGAUCAAUGAGCUAGAUAACAUUUGCCUUGGACAAUAAGUGGAUGACUUGUGGAGCAUUAAGACGCGACUGCUAGGAAUGAGCAGAGGACAUGCCUUUUUUAAUUUAUUUUGGUUUGUUUUAUAUUAGAUUAUCAUGAUCUCAAACAAACAACACGCAUUUGAUUUGUGCUUAAUUUUAUGAUUUUAUUUUUAUUAUCAUAUAAUUAAGUAAAAAAUAGUUUUAAAUAACAAAAUUCUUAGACUUAGUGGAGUUCUUAACUCAAACCAUGAAUUUGACAGGUUAAGUCGCAAAGCCAAAGUUGAUCAAAUAUGUCGUCAUUUUAAUAUUAAAAAAAAUCAUCUUGAAUAUGAUAAAAUAGGGUUAAAACACAAAGAACCUUAAAAUUUUAUUUUUAUUUUUAAAAUAUUAAUCUAACAAAGUUUGCCUCUCUACGAGGCUUAUGAGAAAUUUUAUGGUGUUUAAUCUAUAACUAAUGAUAUUCUAUGAGUUAGUCUUUGAAACCUAUUAUAAAAAUAAAAAUAGAUAAAAUAAGGGAGAGAAAUCCUAUAUAUAGGUGUUCUUAUUAUUUUUGGUGGGACAUAAAUUGUAUUUUCUCUCUUCUUUUUGCAUGUUUUUUUUUUUUUAUCAAAGUAAAACUCAUAGAGUGACUAAUAAAAUACCACUAGUUACAGCUUGAGCACCAUAAAAUUUUCUAUGGUUUACAAUGCCUUUAAAUAGACUAAAAAACUAACCUAAAAUAUAAAAUAAUAGAAAUAAUGUAAAAAAAAAAAAACCAAACCACAUGAAUCCAUCUAAUUUUCCUUUUUUCACUACUCUUUGUUUUGUUUGUUCUCUAGUGAUUGUAUUAGUUAAUGUUUGUUUUUGUAUUUGUAAUUGCAUUUGAGUGUAUUUGGUUUAAAAAAUAUUAAAUUGAUGAUUUUUUAAUGUUUUUUUAAUUAUUUUGAUAUGUUAAUAUCAAACAUUAAAAAAUCUUAAAAAUUAUUUUAAUAUAUUUUUAAAUAAAAAAUACUUUGAAAAAAUAUUUAAUCAUAAUAAGCCACCUUCUUUUGCUUAAUUUAAUCUGUUUGUCAUUUUAUAUUAAAAAGAAGAAGAAGAAGAAGAAGAAGAAGAAAGUAAGGAAGGAAGGUGCUAAUUUAAUGCAUAGCCUUUUCUUUUCUUUUCUUUCCUUUUAUUUUCACUUGAUAUGAAACCUUCUACAGUCAUUUUUAUUUGUUGAUAGCUUACCAAAAAAUACUAUCAAUGAAAGUAGUCGGUAAACAAUUUAGCGCACGUUUUGGAUUAUAAUAAUACUUAAUUUUUAAAGUAUUUUUUAUUUAAAAAUAUAUUGAAAUAUAAAUUUUUAUUUUUUAAAAUUUAUUUUUAACAUUACAUAGCAAAACAAUCUAAAAAUAUUAAAAAAUAUAUUAAUUUAAAAUAAAAAAUCUAAAAACACUUUCGGCACUUAGUAAAAUGAUUUUUUUAUAUAAAAAUUCAUCCAAUACUAAUGAUUACUUAGCAUGGCCGCCACUGAUAGGGGUGAGAAUAAAAACUAAAAUAUUUAUUAAGUUUGAGAAAAUUAAAAAUUUUAAUUAAAAAAAUAAAGCUGAAAAAAAAACCUAAUUAAUCAAUAAAAAAAACUAAAAAAUUCCAAUAUUGUUUGGUUUUGGUUUUAAAAUUCUAAAAUCGAAUGAGCCAGACUAAACCGAUUCAACCAGCUCUUUAAAAAAAUAUAAAUAUCUGAUUUUCUUCCAAACCCUGCACCAGACCAAAAGGGUAGCGGCCCCAGCCAGCCGGCUCGUUUCUCAUUUCUGGUCUGUGUUUUACCUCCUCUAUAUAGUGUCUACGCAAGCCAUCUCUGCUGGCAAAUAAUUAAUUACUAGCCAUUCCCUUCUCUUCUCUUCCACUCUUUUUAUUAUUAUUAUUAUUAUUAUUAUUAUUUGCUGGUGAGUUUUCCACUCCUUCCUUGGCACUAAAGAUAGCAGUUUACAAGGAUGAAGAAACUUUAAAUCAAUUGCGUUUUCUUUUCUUCAUAGACAGAGUUUGCUUUCUGUUUUAGGGAAGGAACACUGAACAUCAUUGCAGUAAUGAGUCGUAUCUUUUGACUUUAUUUCUGGGAAUACGAUGUUCCUUUUUCCUUAAGAAUUAAUCACAAUACUCCUUUCUCUUUAUAUAUAUAGAAAACAGUAAAUUUCACUCUUCGAAUUUAUUACAAAUCUGCAGAUGAUCAGGAAAUUGAAGCAAAACGCAUAAAUUCAACAAAUUCUUUGUUUCAUUUUAAAUCUGCAAGGACAAGUUUGUGUCAGCAUUAUAUUUAAUUGAGAUUACAACUAAAGCUAAUAGAAACUAGUUUUUUUUAUAUAUGAUUAUAACUAAAGAAAAUUCUGCAUUAAGAAAAUAUAAAGAGCUUCGUAUCUGUCGUAGCAUCAAUGCAAGGACAAUGGUACCGAAUCAACAAUUUAAAUGACAGUGAUGGUCAUUGUAAGGUCACUUGAGAUACACAUCAAAUGUCAUGCAAACUUAAUUACCUAAGAUGUGAAUUUUCCAUACCACUGAUAAAAGCACUUUGUUUGAAAAUAUUCUGAACUUUAAUUUCUCAGUAGCUAGGCAUAAUAAUUUAUUUGAAAGAGAUAGAACUAAUAAAGUGAUUGAGAGUGAAAACAGGGUGAAAGUGCCACUCUUCUAGCCCCUGUAACUGGACAUGUCACUCCACAAACUUUGUCAAGAGGAUUAUCAACCUCACAUUAAACUCUAUCCGACACUUAAAAACAAAUGAAUCACUGUUUACAUACUCUUAAAUUGAGAUAUUAACCUCAUAUAAACUUUUCAAUUUUUAAAUAAGUACCUGAACUAGUCUAAGAAGCUGAAUGAAUCAUCAUAAGCACAUGAUGAUGUGAUGGCUCUUCCACAAAUCUACAAUUAGUAAGUUGAACCCCUGGUAAUUACGUUUCAAAGGCUGACAAAGGGAUUAUAGUCCCUACCCAACAGCUUGAACAAUUUAAAGCAAAUGUAAAUUAUAAAUACAAUUAAACACAAUCACUAAUUAACAGCCAUCAAUGCAAUUUUUUAAAUACAUGCAUGCAAAAUGAAGCCCAACGGUAGUACUGUUGCCAAUAGGAACUUAUUUAAGUUAAUUCACUUAAAUAAUUAUAUAUGGACACAAUAUAACAAAAGCUAUUACUCUUAUUCCAUGCUUAAACUGAUCUCAUUAUUUGAUGGUGGUUGACCAGUCCCUUGAUCAUCUGUUUGUGCUAGCAAACUUAUUGGAAGUGAAUCAAUUCCUUGUUGUGGAGCUGAUGCUGUUAAAUAAGAUCUUAAUUGCUCAAGCUCUCGCUUUUCACGCUCAAGCUCUUGAUUUUUAUGCUUAAACUCUCGCUUUUCACGCUCUCGCUCUUGCUUUUCACGCUCAAGCUCUCGUUGUGUGUCUGCUACAAUCUUAUUAAGUUCUUUCAACUCCUUCAAAAUAGCAAAAUUGUUAACUUGACAUGAGUAAUUAACAAAUUUUUGAUUAAUCUAUGCAAAUUAUUCAUAUUUAAAAAUAGAAAUUAGGAGUCUCAUGAAUUUCAAUUUAAUUUCUCGUUGCAAUAAAUAUAGAGGUAAUCUGACUAAUUUCCUGAUAUUAAUUGAUUAAAACAUGCUACCUAAUUAAGUACAGUCUUGUUUUAUAUACAUGUAUGUUGUUCAAAGUGCGCAAAUUAAGUACAUCAUUGUUCAAGAGAGUGUUUGGAAAUGUUAUAAUGAUUGUUUUUAAAGUGAUUUUUAUUCAAAAAUAUAUUAAAAUAAUUUUUUUUUAUUUUUAAAAUCAGCACAUCAAAACCAAAAAAAAAUUAAUUUGAAAUAAUUUUUUUUUGAAAAUAUACUUUUAAAAUAUAAAAAUAAACAAGGUUUAAAUAAAAGAAUGUGUGGUGUAAAAACUUAUGCCACACUAGAUAAAGAAAAUGUGCUUAAGGUAUUUCUGAAAAUAAAACAACACAACGUGAUUAUGGCAUCAAAAAUAGCUUAUAAUAUUAAGAUUAUUAAUUAGACAGACUAUUAAAGGCCUUGGACAUUGAAUUUAGCGGAAGAGAAAGAGAGGCAAAGUGUAAAGCAUGGAAAAUUGACUAGUCUUAAAUUUUUCCUUUCCUUUGAAAAAAAGGGAGAAAACCUCGUAGGAUAAUAAUUCAAUAAAAAAAAAUACUAAAAGACAAUAAUGAUUUAUUGACACAUGUUUCUAUUCAUUUGAGUAGUAUUUUUACUCUUUUAUUCUUACAACAAAAAUAAUUAUGCUUGCAAUUAGGGGUAUAAUUGCCUUUUUCCAAAUGAUUCAUUAGUCAUUGCAAGAUUUAUUGGAGAUAAAAUAGUCCGAACAUGUUUCUUUUGCUAUAAUGUAAUAACUGAUUUGUCCUUGAAAGCAAGAAAAAUUAGGCUUCCAGCAAGGGUCUUUAUUGACUUUCCCAAAAACAAAAAUGGUGUUUACAUUCGUAUCCUUGGAGGAGGAAAAAAAAUAGCAUGGGUAGAGGGGUUUCUUAGUCUUUUUCAUUUUUUAAACAGCAAAAUUACCUUAUAACCCUUUGACUAUGAAAAAAUUAAGACUGUAUAGCUCAUGAUCAAUCUUUAAAAUCUAAUAAUAGCCCGGUGCACAGUAAAAUACGGGCCAUCUACCUCGUUUUUUACUUGAGAAAUUCAUUUUAUCAAGUAUAAAAAAUCAAAAAGGUUGGAGACGAUAAUUGCACUGACUUCUAAAAGUUCUACCUUCCAUUAUUUGAAAGGAGAUACCUAUGGGUGUACUUUUGUUUAAUUUUCAUUGUAGGUAAUACAAUCAAACGAUUUGGAUAUGAAGAUAGGUAGGGUAUAUGACCUAUAUAUUGGAUCUCCAUUUUUUAAUUUACAUGUAUAUUUAAUUAUUAUAUAUAUCAUUUAAGAUUAAUUUUGUGAGAUAAUUAAGUGUAGAGUAUUUUGAUUUUUUUUAAAGGACAAUAAACUCUCUUUAAUGGAAAUGUACCAUGCAAAGAAUCGUAUGAAUCUUUAUCCAAUAAAGAUAAGUAUGGAAAACUGAAAAUUAGCUUUGAUGGAUGUUAAUGCAAUUAUAGAAUUAAUUUAGAAGCAAUCCUGAAGGGGAGAGUUUAAACCUUCACUGUCAUCCCCAAUCACGGUGCCUUUAAUGGUGAUUUAUCAGUGACUUAAAAUGAAUAUAUUGAAUAACAUAUAUGAUAUACAAAAAUAUUAUUUGGUAAGUUUUAUUUUUGUAUUUAUAGAUUAAUUAAUGUUCUGCUUAUACUCCUAUAAUUUAAAAUUUUCAAUAUUAUCCCUCUAGUUUUAAAAUUACUAAGGUUACCCCCUAAUCGUUAAAAAGCUUACUGUUUAAAAUUGGCUUUUGAAUUUUUCUUUUUUGGGAAUGUUUUUAUGACAUAUAAUAACAUAUAUGGGAAUAUGUGAGAGGAAGUAAAAGAGAAAUGUAAGGAAAAUUGAAAGUUUUGAUAGUUAUUUAAAAAAGGGAAAAAAUGGAAACUAUAAAUUGAAAGGUAGUAUUGAGAUGGAAGUGAAACAUACCUCAUCGGCACUCGACUCUAACAUGAUUUUGUCUUCAAUACCUUUCAAAUAUUUCAUUUUAGCCUGGAGAUAUUCAUGAUCCUUCUCCUCCUUCUCGAUUUUCUUGAAGAUAGCAGUGAAGCAUCAUUUAAUAAUUUAUUGUAAGAAAUUCAAUUAGUCAUCGGUUAAUAAAAACAAAAAUAUAAAAUUAAUCAUUUAUUUCAAAUUUUUCUUAGGCACGAAGGUAUCAGUAUUGACUAGACUCGUUCACAAUCCGAGGAUCAUAAAUGAUAAUGGAUAUUUAAGGUAUAAUUAAUAUCAUAAGAACACUUCGGUGUAGUGCCCAUCUACUUACUAUAAAGAAAGAUUGUGAUUCCUUGUCUAAUUCUAGAAUAACACGUGGUAUUUAGCAAGCUAUUGAGAUAAUAUAUUAUUUUAUUUUAUUUUUCAAGAAUUGAAGCUGAUACCAAGAUUGAUUUGAUGUAAUUUAAAGUUAGAAAUUUGAUUUGGCAACAUAUAACAAGUAGAGUGUUGCCGGAAACAUAGAAUUAGUAUAACCUCUUAUUAACCAUCAUCCAACCGUUUUAAAUUAAAUGACAUCCAAUUAAAAUCACUUUAUUAAUAAAAUGAAGAAAACGAAAUGAAAACAUUCAAAUGGAAAUAAUCUGAUUUGUUAUUUUAUUCUGACGCCUAAAAAAAUGCAGUAUCUAUCUACGUACUUGAGAAGGAUUUUUGGUAUACUUACCUUUGUCAAUUCAAAAAUAACAGGGGGGCCGUCGAAUCCAUUAAUAUCGUACUGUGCGCUCAAGCCAAGAUGUAGCAUGAGAAGGGAGACAUGAGUGAGUAACUCUCCACCUCUUCUUAGUUGAUGAGUAUGUUCUUUCCAUGGACAAUGAGCUGCUGCAUAUGCAACCAUUUCUACCCAAACUUCAUUUAUCAUCCUCCGUCGCGCCUCAGAUUCCAAUCGCAGCAAUUGCCUGGCGAGCCUUUCCACACCACGUAACACUGACUUUUCUGUUUUCCAGACACUUUGAAACCCUCUAUCAUCAUAAACACGUGAUACACUGUUGUGCAAUUCCCGCAAGGUACGUUGAUAUUCCUCAUCAUCAGGACCACGAUCUUUUAGACCCCACAAUCCUCGCAAGGUACGUCGAUAUUCCUCUUCAUCAGGAUCACGAUAUUUUAGACGCCGCAAUUCUCCCAAGGUGGGUAGAUAUUCCUCAUCAUCACCGAAUCCUUUAGAGAGCAUAUUUGGUCUUAUCAGCAAAAGAUACAUCAUGUAUUCAGAUAGGCAUCUGCUUGUUUCAUAUUCUGUGGAGACAUUACUUCCAUCUUUAUCAACAAGAUAACAAAUCUCUGUUGCGAGAUGCCAGACAAGAAUGCUCCGACUGAAUUCUACUUCAGUCGUGCACCACUUGUAGUCCCGUAACAGUCCCUCUCUUUCUAGCACACCAUCUCCCCUCUGACCUAUUAUUUUACUUCUGUCAUUCUUAUCACAGACAUUAAAAUCUUCCUUAAUCUUCUGAGCUUUCUUUCGAAGAUGUUCGAAAAUAAGACCUUGUAGUCCAACAUUCAAAUCUUUCCUAUUCACAUGCAUCUGCCUCAUCAUUUCAUCGAUUCCCAGCAAUUCCAAGCAGAAAUGUGGCUCGCUUUCGAAGGAAGAGCUUAUCAGGUUAUACUGUGAUAUGGAUCUCGACCACCUCUCGCUUCUAGUUAACUUCCUUAUCAGAGAAUAAAUUGCACCAGUCAGGCCGUUCUCUCCUUUAUAAAUCAACCAAAUCAUUGUCCAGUCAGACAAAACAAGGCAUAAAAAAGCAUAUAACUCGAGAAAAACAGCGGCCGCAAACAAUAAAUACGUAAUUGCAAUGUUGGUCGUUGAGUAGUCAUGCUUGUCAAUCUUGACCUGGAAGGUAAUGAACGCAGUAACAGAGAGCAGAGAGCUGAUACAGCGAAGAAUGAUUCCGCCACGGGAGUAAAUCAGAGGCGCUUUAGUAUAAAGCAUAUCAUAUAUCAAUCCAAGCUCAGCCUCUACCACCUUGAAGGCACCGUCUGCUGAAUUUUUGGAAAUCAGCUCCCUGCUACUUAUUAGUGCAGCAAUGCCAGGGACAAGAUCCUGCAUCACAAACUUGGAUGUAUAUGAAAAAACACAAGCUUGAAGAAGAUAAUUUUCCUGGAGAUCUUGUGGAGGAGUUUCUGAUAUUCCCGUACGAUGAUAAGAAUCCCAAAAAUCUCUGAGAGCAGAGUUUUUCAAACUCUUGGAGCAUGAAGACCAGAGCACCCAAGUCCUCUCUGCGUACUUUGCAAUGCCAACAAUGAACAUUGGGAUCGCUAUGAAUGUGAGGAUACCGCUACCCCAGGACCUUGAGAAGACAUAAAAAGCCACUAUGACUUGGACUACAAGACCAAGCAAAUGCCUUAACCACAACUCGUUAUCUUCAAUCGAGUAUGCAGUGAUUGUGUCCGGGCCACCAAGGUGCAGGAGUAGAAAAGGUGCCCAAAAUGCCUGGAUGGAAUUGUUUGCUUUCUCUGAACCGUCACCUGAUGAAUCUCCUUGGCUCCUGGCUAGAUUACCCAGGGCAACAGUUGCCACCACGUCUGCUGAUAGGUAUGCAGACCAAACGAGAAUCCUGAUCCAGCUUCUGCCACUGGUCUUUCGACAAGACCCAAAUAUGAUGAGGAUGGUUUGUAGUAAGAGACUAAGCAAAACCAUUCCUCGAAUCUCCCAAUUGUUCCAUAAAUUUAAGACUUCUUCAGGCAAUUUUUUAAGCAUUGUCAUCUUUUCCUCAACUGUGGAAACUACUUCUCUCGAUGAACCCUUGAAAAAACUAUUUUGUAAGAUGGAAAAGUAAAUGUGGAUAUCUUUGAAAACAUCUCUUAAAAUGAAUAGCGAAAGGGCUCUUAUGUGAAAAGAAUUCUGCAGUAGAUUUUGGGUAAGGUAUCAUAAAAUAGGAUUUGCUGCAUAUUGUUGUUGCAGCAUGCAAAGAAAAAGGUAUGGGAUGCAUUACAAAUUAAUAUUUGGAAGUGAAUUCCGGGAUAUAUCUCCUUUAACUUAAAGCUUGCAUUACCAGCUUUUGCAAACCAAGUUACAUGUACAAGCAAGAAUUUGGUACCUGUCAUGGGUACAAAGCAACGAAGAGAUGCUAAAUAGUAAGGAAGAGAUGCAAAAUAGUAAGAAAGAGAUGCUGCCAGAAUGAAGAGACUUUAAAUUAGUUGCUUUCCCCCCUUUUUCUUUUCUUGAUAGACAAUAGACAUCGCUUUCUGGACACUCAAAGAAGGAAUUCUGAAAAUCAAUAUGAUGUUUGAGCACUAAACUUCCCUAAAUAUUUUUCGUUUAACUAAAGCAUGUUUUAUAAUAACAUAUCUAAUAAUAUAAGAUACCUUUAAUUUGUGGUAAAUAUUCAUUUUAAAUGCAGGCCUAUCACAUAAAUAAAAGUAUUGAUUGAUGAGUUUAAGAACUGAAAUUGAAAGGACAAAGAGAUGGCCAAAUUUAGAAAAGAGAUGUUGGUGCAGUCCAAACCGGAACACUGUUCGGUAAUUGGGUUGUAUCUAGAGCUGUAGAUCUCGGAUUUAGGUCUACUUUAUAUGGAUGGAAAUGUAAGACAUAGGCCUACAACUUUUAGAGGAGCUCAAGAUUUAAAAAGACCAUUUUCAAGUCCAAAUUGUAGCAACAACAAAGAAGUUUGAAUCUGUCCUGCAGCCCGAAUACUGUUCAGUGUUUGGCCCAUAUCUGGAGUUCUAGAAGUCCAAAUAACCUCUAUUUUUUUUUUGGAAAGCUGAGACAAUUUCCUACAACUUUCAUGUUUUCAAGUGGUUCCAAUUCUGACGUUAUCAAUGAUGUUUUGGGUAGACAAACGAAGAUAAAGAUUAUCAAGAGUUGGCCACCCACUCAUCAAUUAGUCAUCAAAUCAAUAAUUCAUAAUUUUGGCCUAUAAAAGGAGGUAUUUGCCAUGCAUAUAGGCAUCUUGGUCUCAUACUCCAUCAGUCAAAGGACAAAAGUGCAAGUGAGCUUCGNNNNNNNNNNNNNNNNNNNNNNNNNNNNNNNNNNNNNNNNNNNNNNNNNNNNNNNNNNNNNNNNNNNNNNNNNNNNNNNNNNNNNNNNNNNNNNNNNNNNAAGGAGAUCGCCAGAUGGGAUCUCAAGAUAGGAAAAAAAGAGAGAAUGUUUAUUUAUUUUUCUUUCUUUCAUUAUGUUUGGUUAAGUUUAUUAUGUCAAGGUGAAAAGGUUAUACUAAUGGUGUAAAAAUAAGUAUAGUAUAAGCUUAAUGUUGCUACCCAAUUUUUGACCCAUGUUUUGAUAAAUUUUCAAAAAAUUCCAAAAAUAGCAAAAAACAUUGAAAAUCCAAAAAAUACAUUUUUAAUACAUUUGCAUCGUUUUUAGCAUUUUUAGCAUCGUCUCAAAAGAAUUUAAAUUUUCAAAGACAUUUGGAACACGUUCAACUUUUAACGCGUUAUUUUUAAAAUCAUUGAUUUUCUUCAUUGAGUCGACGUUGAUAUUGCUCGCUUUCAAAAAUACAAAAAAAUAAGAAAAAUCAAAAUUUACCAAAAAAAAAAGAGGAAAAGAGAAGAAAGGAAAGGUUGAGGGACUAGUUUGAAAACCUAGCAAAACUUUUCCUAUAAAUACCAUGCUAUACUGAUUUUGUGAAAUGGGGGGCAUUUUUGACAACAAAAAAAAGAAGAAAAAACAUAACCCUAAAAAAAAAACCUAAUCUCCUUCUCUUCAAGGGCUGCCGCCGCCCCCCACACCCCCCGGUUGAAAAUUUUCCCUUACCUUCCAGCCCGUUCUUCUCCCACCGAACCAGCGACCACUCCUCCUCUCCCUGCUCAGCGACUCCAUUUAGACCCGCAGCCGUCCACUUCCAUUUUUCUUCUUCCCUCUCCGUCUUUCCCCUUCUCUCAGCCGCCUGCACAAGCCUCCAUUUUCGCAGCCGGUUCUCUCCCAAACAGCCGGUCUUCUCUCCUCUUCCAGCCGCGCACUGAUCCACUUCCUCCCUCUCGGCUACGGCAGAUUUCCUUUCUCCUCCCCACAGCUGCUCCCUCACCAAGCCGUUCAGCCUCCAUCUUCCCUUUUUCCAGCCGCUGACCAGCCUCGACAGCUUCUCCACCGUCACCUACAGACCCACAAGACAGCCCCGUUCUCACCAGUGAGCCAGCAGCCCACACACGGCAGCGCCGGGGCAACACUUUCGUCAUCUCCUUCAACCGGUCAGCAGCAGCCCCGUUCUCACCAGUGAGCCAGCAGCCCACACACGGCAGCGCCGGGGCAACACUUUCGUCAUCUCCUUCAACCGGUCAGCAGCAGCCCUUCUCCAGCAACGGCACCCACAGACCGGCCACCAGCAGCAGCAGCCGAUCUCCUUCACCGCCGGUCGCCAGCCUCCAGCACUCCUUGCUGCCAGUACAUGGAACAAGGGAGAAGAGGAUGAGCAGUAGCAGCUGAUCUGCAACGAAGCAGACCCAAAAGAGGCCGUGACAGAUCUGAAAAAAAGGAGAGCCGAAAUUGUUUGCGUUGUUGGUUUACUUUGCAGGUGACUGGGAGAUGCACCGCCGGUACGGACGAGAAGAGGAGAAGGAGACGAUCCCGAUCUACUAGCUUGCUGGUCUUCACCGGCGGCGGCGCGUGGACCCACGCGCCGCCACUGUUCCUGCGGCACUGUUCCGGCUUGCAGAAGUCCUUCCCUGCAAUUUCUGGAGUUUUAGGGACCAUUUUUGUAAUUUGUAAAUUAUGUAAUGUAAUUUUUGUUUAGUGUUGAAAUUUUUUUUUUAAUUUGUAAUGUGGAUGUAACAAAGAAAAGAAAAGAAAGAAAAGAAAAGAAAAGAAAAAGAAAUGUUUGUGUGUGUUUGUUUUUUUAUUUAUAUUAUUGAAUUAUAAAAAAAAAGGACAAAAAGAAUUAAUUGUUAAUUUAAAUAUGGUUAAAUAUCUCAAGGACAAAUAAAAUCAAGUUGUAUUUUCCAUGAAAAUAUAAGAACAAGUUUCUAUAUAUAUUCGGGGAUUUAAUAACUGAUUUAUUCAAGCCUUAGAAUUUAAUUAAUAUUUUAAAUUUUCAAAUCACAUCAGAACACAAAGCAGCUUACCUCAGGUAGGGUGUGUUAGGGUGCUAAUACCUUCCCUAACCACAACCAGUCCCUUACCCGCAAAUCUCUGAUAAGACCAGUACAUCAGGUUUCCUAGUAGCCCUCAAUAAAUUACUAGGUGGCGACUCCAACGAACCAAAUUCAAGCAAGCAAAACGCAACAACGAUAAAAUCGCCAGCCGAUGCCGCGCGGAUGAUUUUUUGACGUGCGACAGAAUGACGACUCCACUGGGGACAGGUAAUGUUUUCAACAUUAUUGGACUAAGCUUUGUGUAUUUGAUGUGUUUAUGUUUUUGCAUUUUUGUCUUGUUUUAUUUUUGUUUUAUUCUUGCAUUUUGUAGAAUUGUCUCAUGCAUCACAUAUUUUAAUUUUUUAAAGCACACACAAUCUUCAGGUUAGGAGGGGGACUAGCAGCUUGCCUUAUGACUUGAGCCAAGGUUUAAGUUUGUGUAAACCCCAACUCUUUGCUGAGUGUUUAGACUGAUAGUGAUUGGUACAUGUGCCAUCCCACUAUCUGCUGAACCCCUAUAUUGUCUUUACAAGGGCGAUCACUGGGACAGCGAGAGACCCUUUUUAGAGACCAAGUAGUAAACCUACCUCUUGUCUCACUUAAAGAUUAGAACCUCCCGUUAGGAUGUAUGCUUCGUAAAUAGUUGUUUUGCAUUUGAGCAAGCCCUUCUUGAAGCAUCUUGAAUUCAGGACUUGUGGGUGACCCAAUGGUCGUCACUCAGAAAAUUUUCAUUGUAGAGUUUGGGCAAGAAUAAGAUUCUUGUUUCAUCAUACAAGAGUUACGACCAUAUGUCACCCCUCGAAGGGCGAGUUCUUCAUAUAGAUUACAUGUUCAUACAUUUAUCAUGCAUGUACCAUGAGGAAAAAUAGGUUCCCCUGUCCGAGGUUUGCUACACGUGAUUGAAAAAGAUGAUGGAAAUGAAGAAAUAUGUUAGAUAGAGGCUCAUUAUCACAAAGAAAGUUGAGAGCAUUAAAGGUGAAGUAGCUAGGCUCAGAUCUGCCUGAACAAGUGUUGAGCAUCAAAUGGAAAGGAAAUGUCUGCACAGUUUUCUGUGGGAACACUGCUCGUCCACGUCCUAUUGAAGCUGCACCUCUCCUUUUCAGUCAUGAACCACGACAACGAUGCCUUCAGUCAUAACUAAUGACAACUUUUGUUCUCGGUCAAUUGCCCUGUUAAUUGUUCAUCGCCUCCACAUCUUUCAAUGGCACCAAAUAAUUGCUAGCCUUAUGUGCAUGAUGCAUUAGCCUUCUUUGAGGUUACCCUCACUGCGAGCUUAAUUCCAGUUCAGCAAAAAAAAAAAAAACAAAAAAAAAAACAAAAAAAAACAAAAAAAAAACAAAAAAACCAUGAUUAGACACUGAACUUCAAUGUGGCAGAGCUCUCUCUACAAAAAUCUGUUUAUGGCUCUGCAAGUUGGGAAAUGCAAGAGGGGAUUUAUAAGUUGCAUAUGUUAUAAAAAUCUCUCAUCAGUUUCAGCACAAAGACACCGUGGUAGGUUGAAGAGUCAGACCUGGUCUGAAAAACAUGAGCAGACAUCAAACUUCUACGUUGCAGAGCUCUCUCUGUAGAGAUUUGUUUGGGGAUCUGCCAGUGGGGCAUGCAAGAGGGGAUGCACUAUUUUCAUAUGCUAUAAAACUUUGUCUCAUCAGUUUCAGCACCGAAACACUGCAGUAGGUUGAAGAGCCAGACAUGGUCUGAAAAACAUGAACAAACACCAAACUUCUACGUUGCAGAGCUCUCUCUGUAGAGAUUUGUUUGGGGAUCUGCCAGUGGGACAUGCAAGAGGGGAUGCAUUAUUUUCAUAUGCUAUAAAACUUUGUCUCAUCAGUUUCAGCACCGAAACACUGGAGUAGGCCGAAGAGUCAGACCUAGUCUUAAAACAUGAGCAGUCGUCGAACUUUGACGUGGCAGAGCUCUCUCUACAAAAACCCGUUUAUGGCUCUGCAAGUGGGAAAUUCAAGAGGGGAUGUAGUAGUUCCAGACAAUGUGAAAAGUUACCCCACCAGUUUCAGCAUCGAAACACUGUAGUAGGCAGAAAAGCCAGACUUGAGCUAGAAAACAGGAGCAAAUAUAGAACUUCACCGUGGCAGAGCUCUCUCUGCAGAAAUCUGUUUGUAGAUCUGCAAGUGGAGAAUCCAAGAAGGGGUGCAGUAGUUUCUGAUCAUCUAUAAUUUUCUCUCAUCGGUGUUAGCUUGAAAAUGCAAAAGAAGGGAAAAGAGACAGACCUCGGCUGAAAAAUAGAAAGAAGAUUGAAACUUCAACAGAGCAGAGCUCCCUCUACAGGUGUCUGUUUGCUGCACCGUCAGUGAGGAAUCAAAGAGGAGACAAAGGAGUUUUAGAUUCAUCAGGUUCUCUUCCAGUUUUGACAAUGUGUGAUUCCACACGUCGGUAAUGGCAAUGCCACAUGUUUCUGGGCACUGCCAAGAUUACCAAGCUAUUGAAAGGUUUCCGACAACCCUCAACCAACCACAACAACAUUGAAAUAUUAACAUGAAGUUGUGUGUAUUUCCAAAAGAAUUGAGCUAGCUAUCAGAGAGAAAGAUUGAAGGAUCUACCAUGGAUUCCUUAACAGUGAAGAGAUGAAUCANNNNNNNNNNNNNNNNNNNNNNNNNNNNNNNNNNNNNNNNNNNNNNNNNNNNNNNNNNNNNNNNNNNNNNNNNNNNNNNNNNNNNNNNNNNNNNNNNNNNNNNNNNNNNNNNNNNNNNNNNNNNNNNNNNNNNNNNNNNNNNNNNNNNNNNNNNNNNNNNNNNNNNNNNNNNNNNNNNNNNNNNNNNNNNNNNNNNNNNNNNNNNNNNNNNNNNNNNNNNNNNNNNNNNNNNNNNNNNNNNNNNNNNNNNNNNNNNNNNNNNNNNNNNNNNNNNNNNNNNNNNNNNNNNNNNNNNNNNNNNNNNNNNNNNNNNNNNNNNNNNNNNNNNNNNNNNNNNNNNNNNNNNNNNNNNNNNNNNNNNNNNNNNNNNNNNNNNNNNNNNNNNNNNNNNNNNNNNNNNNNNNNNNNNNNNNNNNNNNNNNNNNNNNNNNNNNNNNNNNNNNNNNNNNNNNNNNNNNNNNNNNNNNNNNNNNNNNNNNNNNNNNNNNNNNNNNNNNNNNNNNNNNNNNNNNNNNNNNNNNNNNNNNNNNNNNNNNNNNNNNNNNNNNNNNNNNNNNNNNNNNNNNNNNNNNNNNNNNNNNNNNNNNNNNNNNNNNNNNNNNNNNNNNNNNNNNNNNNNNNNNNNNNNNNNNNNNNNNNNNNNNNNNNNNNNNNNNNNNNNNNNNNNNNNNNNNNNNNNNNNNNNNNNNNNNNNNNNNNNNNNNNNNNNNNNNNNNNNNNNNNNNNNNNNNNNNNNNNNNNNNNNNNNNNNNNNNNNNNNNNNNNNNNNNNNNNNNNNNNNNNNNNNNNNNNNNNNNNNNNNNNNNNNNNNNNNNNNNNNNNNNNNNNNNNNNNNNNNNNNNNNNNNNNNNNNNNNNNNNNNNNNNNNNNNNNNNNNNNNNNNNNNNNNNNNNNNNNNNNNNNNNNNNNNNNNNNNNNNNNNNNNNNNNNNNNNNNNNNNNNNNNNNNNNNNNNNNNNNNNNNNNNNNNNNNNNNNNNNNNNNNNNNNNNNNNNNNNNNNNNNNNNNNNNNNNNNNNNNNNNNNNNNNNNNNNNNNNNNNNNNNNNNNNNNNNNNNNNNNNNNNNNNNNNNNNNNNNNNNNNNNNNNNNNNNNNNNNNNNNNNNNNNNNNNNNNNNNNNNNNNNNNNNNNNNNNNNNNNNNNNNNNNNNNNNNNNNNNNNNNNNNNNNNNNNNNNNNNNNNNNNNNNNNNNNNNNNNNNNNNNNNNNNNNNNNNNNNNNNNNNNNNNNNNNNNNNNNNNNNNNNNNNNNNNNNNNNNNNNNNNNNNNNNNNNNNNNNNNNNNNNNNNNNNNNNNNNNNNNNNNNNNNNNNNNNNNNNNNNNNNNNNNNNNNNNNNNNNNNNNNNNNNNNNNNNNNNNNNNNNNNNNNNNNNNNNNNNNNNNNNNNNNNNNNNNNNNNNNNNNNNNNNNNNNNNNNNNNNNNNNNNNNNNNNNNNNNNNNNNNNNNNNNNNNNNNNNNNNNNNNNNNNNNNNNNNNNNNNNNNNNNNNNNNNNNNNNNNNNNNNNNNNNNNNNNNNNNNNNNNNNNNNNNNNNNNNNNNNNNNNNNNNNNNNNNNNNNNNNNNNNNNNNNNNNNNNNNNNNNNNNNNNNNNNNNNNNNNNNNNNNNNNNNNNNNNNNNNNNNNNNNNNNNNNNNNNNNNNNNNNNNNNNNNNNNNNNNNNNNNNNNNNNNNNNNNNNNNNNNNNNNNNNNNNNNNNNNNNNNNNNNNNNNNNNNNNNNNNNNNNNNNNNNNNNNNNNNNNNNNNNNNNNNNNNNNNNNNNNNNNNNNNNNNNNNNNNNNNNNNNNNNNNNNNNNNNNNNNNNNNNNNNNNNNNNNNNNNNNNNNNNNNNNNNNNNNNNNNNNNNNNNNNNNNNNNNNNNNNNNNNNNNNNNNNNNNNNNNNNNNNNNNNNNNNNNNNNNNNNNNNNNNNNNNNNNNNNNNNNNNNNNNNNNNNNNNNNNNNNNNNNNNNNNNNNNNNNNNNNNNNNNNNNNNNNNNNNNNNNNNNNNNNNNNNNNNNNNNNNNNNNNNNNNNNNNNNNNNNNNNNNNNNNNNNNNNNNNNNNNNNNNNNNNNNNNNNNNNNNNNNNNNNNNNNNNNNNNNNNNNNNNNNNNNNNNNNNNNNNNNNNNNNNNNNNNNNNNNNNNNNNNNNNNNNNNNNNNNNNNNNNNNNNNNNNNNNNNNNNNNNNNNNNNNGCUGGGGGCAAAGAAAAAUCAGAUGAUGAGUCGUCAAAGUCCAUCAAAGUUAUGUUUAGCAUCUGACAAUGACAAAGAAAAACUUGUUGAGUAUAAACAGAUGAACAAGCAUUCAGAUCAUUACUGGGGGCAAUGUUGUUCAAAGACAGUCAGUGAUUUAGUGAACUUCAGCAGCAAUUGAUGAGCAACGCUGCACUUGAAGGACAUUUUAUUAUCUUCAUCUUGGGGUUACCCUUUGAAACAUGGCUAUGACAGAUGUUAUCUCAUAGUUGCAUUAGAAUGAAUGUCAGAAAGAUGCACCCACCAAGACUGACUGUGGGACCAUUUGCUGUGAAGCUCAAAUGCACACUUCACCGCAUGAAUAUGGGUGAUGAACAUCAUUGAUGAUGCCAACGCAUUUCCUUUCAUGAUCUGAUUUGACAAAGCUGAGAGGAAUCCAUGGAGAAUAACACUGAGCAUACAACCAUGAGCCUUUGUACUGCAAGCUAUGAGAUGCAUGUCUGGAUGAUUGGAUAGUUUCAAUGAAGACUGGUGAUAACAUAUACUUGAAGAGUAUUGUUUCAACUGGGGGCAAGUUCAUGACUGGUUGAUCAUCUUGAUGGGUGUUGGCAUGAUGCACACAACCAAUCAGAAGAUAAUUUUCAAAAGAAUCCAAAAAAAAUCCUUCAUGAUGAAUCAAGCAACACCACACUUGGGGGCAUGGUCAAGCUUGAUAAACAGCGAGAGCAGUAAUCGUCGUGGACAGCCCGAGAUGGGCACUGCACUUACAUUUGAGUGGAAGGCUAGCACACGAAUGAGCCAGUACAUGGGAAGAGCAAAGAAGGCUUUGGUUAGCAAACAAAGGCACCCUAUGACGAUGGAUCAUCAAGGGGGUAACCUACAUUUCACAUCAGGUAAGGAUGCAAGCAUGUCAUCUAACCUCAAAGCAUUGCACAUACUUGUGAUUUGUUACAGAAAGAUCCUCAAUGAAGUCCAGCAAGGUUGUGGACAAAGAAAGAAUCAUUGAGUUGAUGAUGAAAGAAUCGGUUAAGAUCCUGGAACGAGAAGAGAAUGAGAUGAACCCUGCCAGUAGGAGAAUCUCAAAGCAACGAGGAGGUUAACCCAGUCAUCAAGGAGUCUUCAAGUCAACCUGCAACCAGAAGGUGCCAAGUUUCUCAGCCUUGUCCUGUCAGGACUGCUUCAACCAAGUCUUUUUGCCAGGUAAGUCACAUUCUAUCUUUGGGUAGGUCACCCGUAACAAUGAGACCAUUUUUUUGAAAAACAAAAACAUCAUUUUUUCUGGGUAGGUCACCCAUCACAAUGAGACCACCAUCUUCCAUUUGGGUAGGUCACCCAUUAUAACGCGACCACUUCACAUUUUUUCUAUCCUCCAUCUGGGUAGGUCACCCAUAAUAAUGAGACCACUUCACAUUUUUCUCAUCUUCCAUCUGGGUAGGUCACCCAUUAUAACACGACCACUUCACAUUUUUUCUAUCUCCCACCUGGGUAGGUCACCCAUUAUAACGCGACCACUUCACAUUUUUUUUCUAUCUUCCAUCUGGGUAGGUCACCCAUUAUAAUGAGAUCGCACUUCACAUUCUUUCCACCUGGGUAGGUCACCCAUCAUAAUAAGACCAUCAUUCAUCUGGGUAGGUCACCCAUCAUAAUGAGACCAUCAUUUUCCACUUGGGUAGGUCACCCAUCAUAAUGAGACCAUCAUUUUUUCUGGGUAGGUCACCCAUUAGAAUGAGACCAUUCUCCAUCUUUUUUUACUUGGGUAGGUCACCCAUUAUAAUGAGGCCAUUCUUCCCCCUGGGUAGGUCACCCAUAAGAAUGAGACCACUCUUCCCCUUUUCCACUUGGGUAGGUCACCCAUCACAAUGAGACCAUUUGUUCUGGGUAGGUCACCCAUUAGAAUGAGACCAUUCUCCAUUUUUUUUACUUGGGUAGGUCACCCAUUAUAAUGAGGCCAUUCUUUCCCCUGGGUAGGUCACCCAUAAGAAUGAGACCACUCUUCUCCUUUUCCACUUGGGUAGGUCACCCAUCACAAUGAGACCAUUUUUUAUGGGUAGGUCACCCAUUAGAAUGAGACCAUUCUCCAUCUUUUUUUACUUGGGUAGGUCACCCAUUAUAAUGAGGCCAUUCUUCCCCUGGGUAGGUCACCCAUAAGAAUGAGACCACUCUUCCCUUCUUUCCAUUUGGGUAGGUCACCCAUCAUAAUGAGACCAUUUUUCACAUUCUUUCCACCUGGGUAGGUCACCCAUUACAAUGAGACCACUUUUUACACAUUUUUUUAGUCUUGAUUUAAUGAGGUCGCCAGAUGGGAUCUCAUGUAGCUUUGGUUAAAGGAAAUCGCCAGAUGGGAUUUCAGGUUGACCGAGUUACACACUUAUUCUUUGUUUUGGUUUAAUGAGGUCGCCAGAUGGGAUCUCAUGUAGCUUUGGUUAAAGGGAAUCGCCAGAUGGGAUUUCAGGUUGACCGAGCUACACACAUUCUUUGGUUUUGGAAAAGGAGAUCGCCAGAUGGGAUCUCAAGAUAAGAAAAAAAGAGAGAAAGAAAGAAGAAAAAAAAAAGAAACAUUUAGAGUUUUUCUUUACAAAGCUUACUAUGCGAAACAUUGAGGAGUUUCGCUUCGUAAGCAUUGUAAAGAGGGGGCAUCUGUUGCUACCCAAUUUUUGACCCAUGUUUUGAUAAAUUUUCAAAAAAUUCCAAAAAUAGCAAAAAACAUUGAAAAUCCAAAAAAUACAUUUUUAAUACAUUUGCAUCGUUUUUAGCAUUUUUAGCAUCGUCUCAAAAGAAUUUAAAUUUUCAAAGACAUUUGGAACACGUUCAACUUUUAACGCGUUAUUUUUAAAAUCAUUGAUUUUCUUCAUUGAGUCGACGUUGAUAUUGCUCGCUUUCAAAAAUACAAAAAAAUAAGAAAAAUCAAAAUUUACCAAAAAAAAAAGAGGAAAAGAGAAGAAAGGAAAGGUUGAGGGACUAGUUUGAAAACCUAGCAAAACUUUUCCUAUAAAUACCAUGCUAUACUGAUUUUGUGAAAUGGGGGGCAUUUUUGACAACAAAAAAAAGAAGAAAAAACAUAACCCUAAAAAAAAAACCUAAUCUCCUUCUCUUCAAGGGCUGCCGCCGCCCCCCACACCCCCCGGUUGAAAAUUUUCCCUUACCUUCCAGCCCGUUCUUCUCCCACCGAACCAGCGACCACUCCUCCUCUCCCUGCUCAGCGACUCCAUUUAGACCCGCAGCCGUCCACUUCCAUUUUUCUUCUUCCCUCUCCGUCUUUCCCCUUCUCUCAGCCGCCUGCACAAGCCUCCAUUUUCGCAGCCGGUUCUCUCCCAAACAGCCGGUCUUCUCUCCUCUUCCAGCCGCGCACUGAUCCACUUCCUCCCUCUCGGCUACGGCAGAUUUCCUUUCUCCUCCCCACAGCUGCUCCCUCACCAAGCCGUUCAGCCUCCAUCUUCCCUUUUUCCAGCCGCUGACCAGCCUCGACAGCUUCUCCACCGUCACCUACAGACCCACAAGACAGCCCCGU
rnacentral:lncRNA from 1 species